AAAAUGCGCGCAACUUGAAAACAGGUAGAAGUAGAAAAUGGAGAUCAACACUAAAAAGUACACUGUUCAGUUAAUUGUCAGGGAAAUAAGGGUAACGACAAAUGAUAUCCUACAAAAGUUAGAAUAAUCCAAUGAAAGUAUGCUAACAUCCUGAAGAGCCUUAUUUAUCAUAUCUCAAAAUCGAAUAACAGAUUUUUCAAAAGUAUGUGGUGAUAAUUUUCCUAGAAUCAGCAUUAGAGCAAUUUGACCCCCAAAAAAAAGUAGAAGAUCAUAGAAGUAAGCAAGGGAAAAAGUGUACGAACCACAAGAGUCCAAAACUUUCAUGAUUACAAAAUAACCUACCAAGGAAGUCUUGCCAUAGUUUUUUGCAGAAUAAAGAACAAUAUCCAUAUGCGGAACUAACAGCCGAUUUUUGGCCGAUACAGCUACGGCAAAAUUUGGUAGCAUUUCCUUACCUUCAGAGCUGUGCUAAAGGACAAUAACCCCAAAACUGAUUGAUACCAUCAUAUUAAAAUAUUCAUACUAAUGCUUCUUGCUGAAGCAGAUUUUACCAUGGAUUAAACUGUAAAACAACUACAUAAAAGUAGAGUGUUGCUCGCCCAGGAAUAUUACAAUUUACAAAUAAGAAACCAGAAUCAGACUCUAGUUGUGGUAGCAGAGAACAUUUAGUUGGUAGCAGACAACACUACAGAGAUGCAGCUUUCUCGACGAAACAACAAUCAGAUAUAUAUAUAUAAAUGGUCAAAAUGAUCACCAUACAAAAGAUGGCUGCCAAGAAAGUCCUUUGGUAAUCACACAGCAUAUUAAAGCUCAACUUCCCAAAAGAUGAAUAAUAGAUGUCCCACAAAUCUCGAGCAAUUUAACAACUAUAUAAAGAUCAAAACACAGGUAGACAUGAAUAAAUUACCAGUCGAGCCUCUGCAUAAAAUAUCGUGUUAUUUACUAGAGCCUCAAGAUAUAAUCUUAACUGCAACAGGUAAAGAGAAAACAGAAAAACCAUAGAUAGCAAGUACAAUUACCAGGAUUUUGAGAUUGGAUGUUGCUUAAAAUGCCAUGAAAGGCAAUCUGCCGUUCCAUGUAGUUUGAUGAACCUAAUGCUGUCAGUUUACGCAAAGCACAUGAUUGCAAGCUACGGCACCAGCCUCCACCCUAAAGCUUAACAAGGUAAAUAGAAUGACAAAAAAAGCCGGCAAUUUUCAAUGAAAAUACUUAUAUUAAAUCUUCAAAAGCACCUAUUUAAUCUACAACAGAAAUGCUUUAGAAGAUUUCAUCUUGAGAUCAAUAUUUCAGCUGAUCAUUAUGACAGGAAAAAUAUACUAAACUUCAAAUCGAAGCAAUUUAUUCCACUAACUUACAAAUAUCUUUGCGUAAUGAAGAAUACAGAAAAAUACAGAAUGCAAAUGAAGCAUAUCUACUGAACUUUAUCUGCUUAAUUUCCUUAUAUUCACUAUACAUCAAACACAUUAACAUAAUUCAUCAUUUUCGAAUAGAUUAAGUUUCUGGGGAUGAGAGGCCAAACUGACAAGGUGAAUAGCCAACAGUAAUAAUUCUUUGAAUAAGUCCACUAGAACUAAAUUUCUUCAAUCAGGUCCAACCAUAUUUAGAGUUUCCAUCCGCCAGGUGGGGAUUACAUGAAUGUAAUAGUAAGUGAACUUGAUCUAAGAAACUUAGCACUACUGGACUUGAUCAAAAUCUUAUAAAAGUAACUUAAUCAGCAUGCAGGCUGAUGUUAAUCUUUCUAAACAGAAUUAAUGAAGCGAGCACAGAAAUCACAGGGAACUAGGUAAUUGGGAAAAUCUAAGUAAUGGAUCUACGCAUCCAGUUCCAAGUACUGAUACUGUAAUCAUCUACCUCUAAAUGGAGGAGCCAACUAUCGGAGCCCGAUCCAAAUCCCCUCUGGAGAUGGUACCCCGCCGGGCUCCCAUCUAAGCACACUGCAAAAAGCAAAACCCUAACAACUAAGGGCGAAGAUAACAACAACAAAAUUCGACAGCAACAUGAACACACGAAUCAAAUCUCACGUACACGCGCCCUUCUCUUUCGCGUUCUUUAGGAGGGUGAGAUCGACGAGAUCGGCGGAGUCAGAGGAGAAGCUCCGUGGCGCCUCAUCCUCCCGAGGCCACGAGCUGAGGGUGAGGACGAGAGCGGCGGAGACGACGACGAAGGCUCCGGCUGGUCCGGCAGCGGCGCAGGGGCGGCGCCGCCGCCACCAGAGGCGGAGUCCGUGGACGGCCAUGGUUGCGGGAUUUCGGGUUUUGCGUGGAGUGAGAGGACGCAACGAUCGAAACAGAGUCGAUAGGAGGAAUCUCAGAUCCGAGGAAGAAACCGAAACCGAUUGUCUAUUGGAGGCACGUUUUUUCCGCCGCGGCUUUUUCGCACCCAACGGGCUUUUUUAAAUAUAUGGAAUUCGGCGAUCUUUCUCGCACCAAACGGUCUAGGGCUUUUUUAAAUAGAAUUCGCGGCAAAUAACAUUUCGUUGCCGAGUUUUCAUUUUAUUCGGUGGUCGGAUUUCAACCCGGCUUCUCUGCCGACGCCGGUUUCUGUGGAGUCUCGCAGAAGAAAUCGGCAAAAGAUAAAUCUUCAUUCGCCGAAUUCGGAUAGAGCACCAUGGUUUUAUUAUCUUUUUUUUAUUAUUAUUCAUUUUAUGCUUUGGCGGUGGAUUGUUCGAUUCUAUAAACUUUUUUUACUUUUUGGAAAAAAAAUUGCAUAAAAUGAGCAAAAUAUUGCACAUACAUCCAAGUUUUAGAUAGAACAUCAGGAAUCAAAAAUAAAAAAGGAGAAAAGUUCAUAUUGUAUCUUAUAAUUAGUUCAUAAAAUACUAUUUUUUCUGGUCAAUAUAUAUAUGUCUGCGUAUUUCAUAUUUUCCGUUAUGUUUCCUGUUUAAUUAUCUCCAUACAACUACGGCUACUUGUAUGCAAAUUCAACCUUAACCACUGCACACCGGGAUAAUUGAUCAUCAAAUGCUGAAGAGGACUUUAACACAUUUUAUCCAUAGCAAGUACAAUGNGGAAGGAAAAAGUGUACGAACCAAAGAGCCCAAAACUUUCAAGAUUACAAAAUAACCUACCAAGGAAGUCUUGCCAUAGUUUGUCGCAGAAUAGAGAAAAUAUCUAUAUGCAGAACUAACAGCAGAUUUUUGGCCGAUACAGCUACGGCAAAAUUUGAUAGCAUUUCCUUACCUUCAGAGUUGUGCUAAAGGACAAUAACCCCAAAACUGAUUGAUACCAUCAUAUUAAAAUAUUCAUACCAAUGCUUCUUGCUGGAGCAGAUUUUACCAAGGAUUAAACUGUAAAACAACUACGUAACAGUAGAGUGCUGCUUGCCCAGGAAUAUUACAAAUAAGAAGCCAAAAUCAAACUCUAGUUGUGGUAGCAGAGAACAUUUAGUUGGUAGCAGACGAGACGAAAGAGGUGCAGCUUUCUCGGCGAAACAACAAUCAGAUAUAUAAAGGGUCAAAAUGAUCACCAUACAAAAGAUGGCUCCCAGAAAGAGUCCUUUGGUAAUCGCAUGGCAUAUUAAAACUCACCUUUCCAAAAGAUGAAUAAUAGAUGUUCCACAAAUCUCGAGCAAUUUAACAAAUAUAUAAACAUCAAAACACAGGUAGACAUGAAUAAAUUACCAGUUGAGCCUCUGCAUAAAAUAUCGUGUUAUUUACAAGAGCCUCAGGAUAUAAUCUUAACUGUUACAGGUAAAGAGAAAACAGGAAAACCAUAGAUAGCAAGUACAAUUACCAGGAUUUUGAGAUUGGAUGUUGCUUAAAAUGCCAUGAAAGGCAAUCUGCCGUUCCAUGUAGUUUGAUGAACCUAAUGCUGUCAGUUUACGCAAAGCACAUGAUUGCAAGCUACGGCACCAGCCUCCACCCUAAAGCUCAACAAGGUAAAUAGAAUGGCAACAAAAGCUGGCAAUUUUCAAUGAAAUACUUAUAUUUAAUCUACAAAAGCACCUAUUUAAUCUACAUCAGAAAUGCCUAAGAAGAUUUCUUCUUGAGAUCAAUAUUUCAGCUGAUCAUUAUGACAGCAAAAAUAUACUAAACUUCAAAUCGAAGCCACUACAAUUUAUUCCACUAACUUCCAAAUAUCUUUGCUGUACUGAAGAAUACAGAUAAAUACAGAAUGCAAAUGAAGCACAUCUACUGAACUUUAUCUGCUUAAUUUCCUUAUAUUCACUAUAUAUCAAACACAUUAACAUAAUUCGUCAUUUUCCAAAUAAGUUGUUAAACUGAGAGGCCAAACUGACAAGGUGAACAGCCAACAGUAAUAUUUCUUUGCAUAAGUCCACUAGAACUAAAUUUCUUCAAUCAGGUCCAACCAUAUUUAGAGUUUCCAUCCACCAGGUGGGAAUUACAUGAAUGUAAUAGUAAGUGAACUUGAUCUAAGAAACUUAGCACUACUGGACUUGAUCAAAAUCUUAUAAAAGUAACUUAAUCAGCAUGCAGGCUGAUGUUAAUCUUUCUAAACAGAAUUAAUGAAGCGAGCACAGAAAUCACAGGGAACUAGGUAAUUGGGAAAAUCUAAGUAAUGGAUCUACGCAUCCAGUUCCAAGUACUGAUACUGUAAUCAUCUACCUCUAAAUGGAGGAGCCAACUAUUGGAGCCCGAUCCAAAUCCCCUCUGGAGAUGGUACCCCGCCGGGCUCCCAUCUAAGCACACUGCAAAAAGCAAAACCCUAACAACUAAGGGCGAAGAUAACAACAACAAAAUUCGACAGCAACAUGAACACACGAAUCAAAUCUCACGUACACGCGCCCUUCUCUUUCGCGUUCUUUAGGAGGGUGAGAUCGACGAGAUCGGCGGAGUCCGAGGAGAAGCUCCGCGGCGCCUCAUCCUCCCGAAGCCACGAGCUGAGGGUGAGGACGAGAGCAGCGGAGACGACGACGAAGGCUCCGGCAGCUCCGGCAGCGGCGUAGGGGCGGCGCCGCCGCCACCAGAGGCGGAGUCGGUGGACGGCCAUGGUUGCGGGAUUUAGGGUUUCGGGUGAAGUGAGAGGACGCAACGAUCGAAACAGAGUCGAUAGGAGGAAUCUCAGAUCCGAGGAAGAAACCGAAACCGAUUGUCUAUUGGAGGCACGUUUUUUCCGCCGCGGCUUUUUCGCACCCAACGGGCUAGCGCUUUUUUAAAUAGAAUUCGCGGCAAAUAACAUUUCGUUGCCGAGUUUUCAUUUUAUUCGGUGGUCGUAUUUCAACCCGGCUUCUCUACCGACGCCGGUUUCUGUGGAGUCUCGCAGAAGAAAUCGGCAAAAGAUAAAUCUUCAUUCGCCGAAUUCGGAUAGAGCACCAUGGUUUUAUUAUCUUUUUUUUAUUAUUAUUCAUUUUAUGCUUUGGCGGUGGAUUGUUCGAUUCUAUAAACUUUUUUUACUUUUUGGAAAAAAAAUUGCAUAAAAUGAGCAAAAUAUUGCACAUACAUCCAAGUUUUAGAUAGAACAUCAGGAAUCAAAAAUAAAAAAGGAGAAAAGUUCAUAUUGUAUCUUAUAAUUAGUUCAUAAAAUACUAUUUUUUCUGGUCAAUAUAUAUAUGUCUGCGUAUUUCAUAUUUUCCGUUAUGUUUCCUGUUUAAUUAUCUCCAUACAACUACGGUUACUUGUAUGCAAAUUCAACCUUAACCACUGCACACCGGGAUAAUUGACCAUCAAAUGCUGAAGAGGACUUUAAGACAUUUUAUCCAUAGCAAGUACAAUGUAAAAAAGAUUUAAUCACAUCGACUACCAUAAAUAGCAGCUCGAAGAAUGCGAUAGUGAUUAUAGUGAAGAAGCUAUAGAGGCUAUUGAAGUGUUGCAUACUUAUACUACAUGAUCAGUUUCUUGGUAACAUUCCAUGCAUAUCCAAUUGAUUUUGAGCUGAUUUAAUUGUCGUGAUAGCAAUGAUAGUGAAGUAUAUAGCUAUGGAAAUUAUUGAGGUGCUAGUUAGAUCUAUAUGCAUGCAAACAUGUACAGUAUAAGUUGCUUCGCGAUUGUAUUAUCUCCCUAUUCUUUUCAAAUAUUUGUUUGCUGAAUAUAUUAUCAAAAAGAAGGUUAAUGGCUUGUUUGCUGAAUAUAUUAGACUCCUUUCUUUUUCAUGACUCUUUUCCCGUAUACCAACCACACGUUACAAUAUUUUAUUCCUAUUUGAUUCGCGAAACUUGAUUUACCACAUGGAUAUCUAUCACCAGGGGUAAAUAAAGCAAAAAUUUGCAAAAUAUAUACGAAACAUUUGAGAUCCUCUGAUUUCCUGGAUCAUCCCACAGGUUGAUUCUCAGCCAUUAAUCAUGUUUUCGGCUCAUGGUGCGAGCCAUAUAGACCAGGUUGAGGCAAUGAUUAUAAUCAUACAAUUGGCUUGAGAAAUUAACAAAGUUGUGAACUUGUAAUUAAGCAAGUAGAUAUAUUUGGAGAGAUAUAGUGGCAAUAUUGUUUGAGAAAUUGCUAUACAUCUUUCUAAGUUAAUUUGUAUCGAAUUGGGAUACUUUUUAAACAAUUUCAUGGCCCUCUUGCAUGCGCUACAGAUCUUAGUCAACAGUCCUAAUUACGUAGCCGCAAGCCUUGACUAAUCAAUUUCAUGGUUCUCUUGCACUCCAGAUCUUAGUCAGAAGUCCUAGCCACUUAGCUGUAAGAGUUGACACGAAAAAUUCGGCGUGACAUCCGAGAAAUUUCCACGUUAUAGUAGCUCACAGUUUCGAAUGUGACAUAUAUAAUACAAAUACCAACUUUAAAUUAUUAUGUUAAACUUAAUUUUCUCCUAAAUCUCAUGAUAAUUUAUGAUCUAAAAUGAUUGUGACACUGCAAUCUACAUUCGUAAUUAAUUAAAUCUUCGCGAUCUAAUUGAACCAUUGUUUUCCAAGUCGUCGCGCGAGUAAAAGUCGCCGGGAAUUUAAUGGGAAAACUAAAAUUUAUUUAGAAAAAACUUCAAAUACCCGCAUUGUUGUUUUAUUUUUUCUCACUUUAGUACUAUGUGGUUUAAAGUGUAUCAAGUUAGUACUUUGUGGUUUUGCACUUUCUAACUUUAGUACCGUGUGGCUUAAAGUGUAUCAAAUUAGUACUAUGUGGUUUCGCACUUGAUACAAAAAUAAAACUAUAGGGUACUAACUUGAUACAAAAAUAAAAUCACGGAGUACUAACUUGAUAUACUUUAAACCACAAAAUAUUUAGAUGAGAAAGUGUAAAACCAUAAAAUACUAAAAUAAAAAAGUACGAAAUCACGGGAGAUUUUUGAAAUUUUACUAUUUAUUUAUUAUCCUAAACAAAGAAGUGGCGUACAUAUUCGUACGUACCUUCUGCCCCCUCCCAAAGUCAACAUAGCUACUUUUUAAGUACUAUUUAACAACGUAGCUUAAUAAUAACGUUCAAUACACGAUCCAGCUAACUCUCUAAGAUACCCCAAAAAAAAAAAAACAAAAAAAAGAGGGAGGAGAGGAGGAAUUGAAACAUGCACCCUUCGCUGCUCAAACUCUUUAUCCUAUUAUUUCUUAUUUUCUUUUCCCCGGCAUCGUCCUCUGUCACAGCUGCCGCCCCCACUGCUUUACCAAACUGCCUCGACAAAUGCGGGAACAUCACGAUCCCCUAUCCCUUCGGCACGUCCUCGAAUUGCUACCACAACAGCGGCUUCUACAUCGCCUGCAACGCGACCUACGACCCGCCGAGAGCGUUCGUCUCGACCACCAACAUCGAGCUCACCGGCAUCUCCCUUUCCGAUGCCACCGCCACCAUCCUCACUCCGAUAGCCCACGACUGCUACGCCCCGCUCGGCCUCGGCCCCGACAUCAACAACAUCUGGACCGACGUCUCCGGCCUCCCCUACACCUUCUCGCACACGCGCAACAAGUUCACCGCCCUCGGCUGCGACACCGUCGCGCUCAACUUCGAGUACAACGUCCUGGACUACUCCAGCGGGUGCGUCUCGUUCUGCGACGACCAGUCGAGCAUCGCGAACGGCACGUGCUCCGGCAUCGGCUGUUGCCAAACAUCAAUACCCAAAGGGAUGCAUAGAGUGUACACGGUGCUGAGGAGUUUGAGGAACCACACAACGACGUGGAACGUGAGCCCCUGUAGCUACGCGUUCGUGGUGGACCAGGAACAGUUCGUGUUUAAUUUAACGGAUUUGUACGGGUUUUACAGCAAAAAUGAGGGGAAGGUCCCCACGGUGAUGGAUUGGGCCAUUGGGAAUGCCACGUGUCAGCAGGUGAAUGGCACGGAGAAGUUCUCCUGUGGAGCGAAUAGUUACUGCGUCGACAACGACAAUGGGCCGGGUUACAGGUGUAACUGCAAUAGUGGGUACCAAGGAAAUCCUUAUUUAGCCGAUGGGUGCCAAGGUAAAAAUAAAGAUUUUUACAGGGGUUAAUUGCAAAUUUUAUUCUUAAAACCAGCUAUUAAUUAAGUACUGUAACUCUUUUUAUGUACUUAAUGAUGAUACUAAGAAAAUAAUGUAAUUUUUUUUUUUCUUUUCCUCUGAAUCAUUUUACAGAUAUCGACGAAUGUGCGGAUCCGGGCACGAGUCCGUGCGCCGGAAUCUGUGAGAACACGCCGGGCAGCUACGCCUGCUCGUGCCCGCAGGGCUACUACGGCGACGGCAAGAAAUCCGGGAGCGGCUGCAUCAACAAGCCCAAGAAAUUCCCCCUCAUCCAAGCUGUUCUUGGUAAUUAAUUAGCAAUUAAUUACGCUCUAACUGUAUUAACUAAUGAUGUUAAUUAAUUAAUUAACAAAUGAUUGUUGUUUAGGUAGUGGAUUGAGCUUCUUGUUCCUCCUAGUGAGCGGCUCGUGGGUGUACUGGAUAUACCGAAAGAGAAAGCUAAUCCAACUCAAGGAGAAGUUCUUCAAGCAGAACGGGGGAUUGCUGCUGCAGCAGCAGAUCGCGUCCCGGGAGGGCGCAGCGGAGUCGGCGGCGCGAAUAUUCACCGCGGAGGAGCUCAAGGCCGCGACCGACGACUACAGCGAGAGCCUCGUGCUUGGCCGCGGCGGCUACGGCACCGUCUACAAGGGCGUCCUCCCCGGCGGCCGCGUCGUCGCCAUCAAGAAGUCGAUGGUCGUCGACCGCACGCAGAUCGAGCAGUUCGUCAACGAGGUCGUCUUGCUCUCCCAAGUCAUUCACAAGAACGUGGUCCGGCUCCUCGGCUGCUGCCUCGAGACCCCCGUGCCGCUGCUCGUCUACGAGUUCGUGUCCAACGGCACGCUGCACCACCACAUCCACGGAGCGCCGUCGUCGCUGUCGUGGGAAACGCGGCUGCGGAUAGCCGCCGAGACCUCUGCUGCGCUGGCUUAUCUUCAUUCUGCCAUCGCGCGCCCUAUCUUCCACCGCGACGUCAAGUCCGCGAACAUCCUGCUCGACAACAACUACAUGGCAAAGGUACCUACGUACAUACCGUUUAGCUUCAAAGUUUAAGCUGACAGAGAACGGUAAAUAUAUUUUACUGUAACGUUUUACGUGAUCGGCAGGUGGCGGACUUUGGGGCGUCGCGGCUGAUCCCGCUGGACCGGACGCAGAUCACGACGUUGGUGCAGGGGACGUUGGGGUACUUGGACCCGGAGUAUUUCCAGACGGGGCAAUUGACGGAGAAGAGCGACGUGUACAGCUUCGGAGUGGUGCUCGCGGAGCUUCUGACGGGGCAGAAGCCGCUCUCGCAGCGGCGGCCGGAGGAGGAGAGGAAUCUGGCUAUACAUUUCCUGCUGCACAUGCGGGAGAACCGGUUGUUUCGGAUAGUAGAGCCCAGAGUGAGGAGCGAGGGGAGUAGGGAGCAGCUAUCGGCGGUCGCGGAGCUGACGCAGCGGUGUCUGAGGCUGAGAGGGGAGGAGCGGCCCGAGAUGCGGGAGGUGGCGGCGGAGCUCGAGAGGGCGAGGAGGGGGCGGACGGCGACAGAGGACGCGGCGGCGGACGCCGAGGGGGAGACGGAGAGUUCGCUUGGGAGGAGAGGAGAGACCAGGUACUACACUGCGGCGCCUGUGAUGAUCCAUACUACUGGGGACGUGGACUUGGAUGAGCAUAUCCUGUUGUCGCUGGAGAUGCGGAGGUGAUUAAUUGGCUAGUUAAUUACUAUUGGUUGUUUAAUAAUGUGUUGUGUUGUGUUUAGCUAAUUAGGGGAGGGGAUUAAUGCAUAUGGUUGACACUUUUUUCUUUUCUUUCCAUUUUGUAUGUGUAUUUGAAUAAGUUGAAUAGAAAUGCCUAAAUAAGUGUAGUUAAUUUGUAAUGGUUUGUACGGUUUGACUUCAAAUGUACCUAGAUCAAUAAAUUAAGAUGUCCAUUUUGGUCCCUUGACUAAAUUUGAAACCUUACUAUCAUUCACCUUGGGUAAGCGACAAUUUAGCUUAAUGGUUAUUAUUCAAAUCCUAAGUUCAUUUUUUUAUUUUAACUAAAUCUAUUUUUUAAAAAAAUAUAAACAAAAUAGAUUGCAUGCUAUUUUUCUUUAGAAAAAAAAUAAAAAUGUAAAAGGCUCAUAAAUGCCCGAGAGUUUGAGAAAAAUCCAAUAAGAUCAAAUAAUCACUUUUUUUUAAAAAAUAAUUAAAUAUUCGAGAAAAAUUGAUUUAUUUGAACAAAAGAGACGUAACAACUUUAGCCAUGAACUCUUUUUUUUUAAUUAAAAAAAGGGGGGGGAAAUUGGUCAUGGGCUUUUGGCUUUGGGACCCAAUGGAUAAUGCUUUAGGAGACAUGUGGCAUCAGAUUUUUGUAUUGUUCUAAUUUGAAUCUCCCAAGCCACCAAUUGAACUCAAAGCCUUAAUUUCUUGUUGACUAGUCCUCAGUCAACUCCAACCACCUCUCUCUCUCUCUCUCUCUCUCUCUCUCUCUCUCUCUCUCAUCCAAAUAAUAAUAAUAAUAUCAAUAAUAAAUAAAUUAAAAAGUGAAAAUUGUUGUCCACAAUAAAGAAAGAACAAACUAAAAUAUGAUUGAUAAAAAUAGUAAUAUUAUCAUCAACCUACCACAAUCAUAAUUGAGAAAAAGAGUAAGACUUUAAAAAGUACUAUUCAUGCACAUGAAUUACCAUGUGUUAUGUAUGAAUAUUAAUUAGUGAUGUAUUGGUGAUCUUCAUAUAGGGAUAUUCGAGGGUACCUAUCUUUAGAAAAUUCUCCAACUAUAUAACAAGCUUGUAAUUAUAUAAUAACCAACCCCCUUAACACGUCACACAAUUGGAGCAUUCAAUAAUAUUAAUUACUAAAAUACUAAUAAUAAUAUAAUUUAGCAUGCUAAAUUUGAGCAAACUCUCAUGAACAUCACUAUAGUGGACGACCCUUUUGACUAAUCUUCUCCAUUAUUUAAAUCGAGAAAGGAGCAUUUAUUUACCUAGUCAAUAUCCUUCCAACUAUCAUAUAUGUAAUAAAAAUUCUAUCAAAAUAAUGGCUCUUCGACAUUAUAUCCAUAAUUAUAUUCAUGAACCAAUGUAUGCGCUUGACUCAUAAACAAUUAAUUCAUAUUUUUCCUAUAGUUUUUUUUUAUUUUUUUUGAGAGAUAGAGAUAGCACACUACCCGUUUCGUUUAUUUCAUUUAAAAAUAAACUUAGCUGGAAAUAUGAAUAAACUAGAAUUUGAAUAUGGGUCUCGAGUACCAACCACCAAGUCCUUUGGCACUUGCUCUAGGAAUAGUUGAUAAAAUUUAUCACUAAUUACUAGAGUUGAUUUAGAUUUCACUCGCAAUUGGUAUCAUUAUUAUUUUUUUAAUUUUAAUUUUUAUAUAUUUAAAUGUUUCUUUAUUAUUAUUAUUAUUAUUAUUGGCCAGUAUAUAGUGCAACAAGAAAAAGACAAGUAAUAUAUUUUGUAUUUUUUAGCAAACAAUUGAUUAUUCAUUUGUACAAUUCAUUACAUAUUAUUUUAUAUUUCGAAUAAUAUAAUAUUAUAUUUUCAGUAAUGAAAAUGACAACAAUCCUAACCAAAUCCUUAGAGCGCGUUUGGUUUGCGUUAUAUAAUAUUACAGAUUAUUUCGACAUAUUCAGAUAUUUUGAAUUUUUAAAUGAGAUUACUACUGAUUAUGUAUUAGCACGUUUGGUUUGAUGCAGUAUUGUAAUGCUGGAUUGCACUAUAUAUAGUAUUACUAUUUGAUCAGUUUAUAAAAUUUAGUAAUUCUAAGCUAUUCUAAAAUUGCCCUUUCAUAUUUGGCAAUUUUUUUACUAUUUACAAAUAAUAAAUUUUUUACGAAAUUUUAUUUUAAAUAAUAUAAAAUUCAGUAAUGAAAAUGGCAAGUUUCCCAUUGUGGUAGGUGCGCGCGAAAAAGAGCGAGGUGAGAAAUAGAAAUUAGUUUAGAAAAAAAAAAAGAAGAGAAAAGUAUAAGUAAAUCUACAACAAAUUAAAUUUCGUAGGAAUUAGGGGUAAAAAUAAAAUUGGGCAAAGAAAGGGACCGCGCAAUGAACUCCACCCCUCGUUCAAAGCAAGUAGAACAAUUCAAUCCCCUCCACCACGAAAAAUCCCCAAAUUCUCCCUCUUCUUCGAACCCCAACCCUUAGCCUAAUCCCCAGUUUCUCCCUUUUUGUGCGAUUUUUGUAUUAUCUCGAUCGCAAAGGUGAGUCUCUUUUCUCUGUNUUUUAUUUAUUUUUUAUUUUUAUAUAUUUAAAUAUUUCUUUAUUUUUAUUAUUGGCCAGUACAUAAUGCAGCAAGAAGAAAAUAAGUAUUAUAUUUUGUAUUUUUUAGUGAACAAUUGAUUAUUCAUUUGUACAAUUCCUUACAUAUUAUUUUAUAUUUCCAAUAAUAUAAUUUUAUAUUUUCAGCAAUGAAAACGACAACAAUCCUAACCAAUUCCUUAGAGUGCGUUUGGUUCGCGUUAUGUAAAAUUACAGAUUAUUUCGACAUAUCUAGAUAUUUUGGAUUCUGACUGUAUUAGCGCGUUUGAUUUGAUGCAGUAAUGUAAUACUGGAUUACAGUAUAUAUAGCAUUACUGUUUGGUCAGUUUAUAAAAUUUAGUAAUAAUAAUAUAUCCUAAAAUUGCCUUUUCAUAUUUGGCAAAUUUUUUUAUUAUUGAAUAAUAAUAAUUUUUGUACUAAAUUUUAUUUUAAAUAAUAUAAAUUCAGUAAUGAAAAUGGCAACAAUCCUAAUCAAAUCCUUAAAUUAAUUAAUCGGUUGGGAAACGAAAAUCGUUGCAACGGCCGUUUCCCUAUGUGGUAGGUGCGCGCGAAAGAGGGCGAGGUGAGAAAUAGAAAUUAGUUUAGAAAAAAAAAAUAGAAAAAUAUAAGUAAAUCAACAACAAAUUAAAUUUCGUAGAAAUUAGGGGUAAAAAUAAAGGCAAAGAAAGGGACCGCGCAAUGAACUCCACCCCUCGUUCAAAGCAAGUAGAACAAUUCAAUCCCCUCCACCACGAAAAAUCCCCAAAUUCUCCCUCUUCUUCGAACCCCAACCCUUAGCCUAAUCCCCAGUUUCUCCCUUUUUGUGCGAUUUUUGUAUCAUCUCGAUCGCAAAGGUGAGUCUCUUUUCUCUGUUUCCGAUUCGUCGUGCCGUUAAGGUGCUCGACAAAAGGUUUCAGAGAGUUAUUAGCGCAUAAAGCGUUGAUUUUUAAUGGUUCUGUUAACUGGUGUGUUUCUGUUACCAUUUUUGUUCCAUUUAAUCCUUAUUUAUGGAUUCAGUGUUCAGUUUCAAUCGGUUAUUUGAUGCUUUAAGUGAUCAUAUUGAUCAUAUUGUUCGUUCCCUUUUUGAUCUAUUCCUUAUUUGGAAUUGGAUGGGUAGUUGUUUCUCCCCUAUUUUCUAAGUUAAUUUUUAAGUUAUUAUAUUUAUUUCUUCUCAGGAUCGGAGGCUAAAGGAACUCUAAGAGGUGUUAUUGUGGAUCAGAUAUAUCUAAAAAAGACCUCUGUUUGGUGAAUAAAAUGGCAAAAGUGUUGCAGCAUCAGGACUCUAAUGCAUCAUAUUGGAAGAGCUUUCAAGGUUGUACAUGGGGCUUGCUUCAAUUCUUCGACUUCCAACAACGUUUACAUGUUCGACGGAUGCUUUCGAACAGGCGACAUGCUGAUGAAAAAUACUCUGGAGGUAACUAUUGACCUUUUACCAUGAUUCUUUUUUUAAAAAAUUUUGAUUUUUCGUUAUAUUGGCACCUACUCGGGUCUUCAAUUUUGGUGAAAUUUGUGUUUGUUUGGUAGAUAACUGGGUUCUUGUUUCUCUCCAUAGGAGCUUAGCUAAUUUUAGCUCUUUACAUGAAAAUUCGGAGCAAAGAAACACAAAAUAUGAAUAAUAUUUUAAGGAAUUCAAAAUAUUGUUCUGAAGAAAAGAAUAAGCUGUAUGACCUUGUUUUUCUUUUUCUUUUAACUUUUCUCAGUAUAAAUUAAGUUACAUCACCGGUAGCAGCUUUUGAAGGUACUAGUAUAUUGAUCGUAAUUUCCGCUGCAGGAACAAAGCUUUCGGGGUCAUAUGUUUCUCUUACUGGCAAAGAUCAUGGCGACAUGGAUGAUGAAACAAAGUUCAAAGUAAGUUUAGUUAAUAUACUUCUUUAGCAUGCUUUGCAGUUUUGCUUUGAAUUGGAGUUGCUUCGUCGGUAUCAUAUUUGUGGUGUCGAGAAAUUUAGAUUUUCCCUGAAAUACUUGUGUGUUAUUCAUUGCACUUGUAUUGCUAUAUGCUCUUCUCUGGCCCUCAGGACUAAUUUCAGCGAGCCUUCAUUACAAUUAGUACAGUGGAUGUUAUAAUGUUUUAAAUUCCUCCAGGACUCGUUUACCUAUCAUAAAUUUGACAGAAACUAGUUUUCGGAACAUCUGUUUUUCUGGGGGGCGCAAAGUGUACUUAAUUUACCAAGAAUUUUCAGUUUCAUUGGGAGUGUAACAGAUCCUGUAUUUUAUGUAGCAACUUAUUUGACCUUUUCACUUGAUCAUGGACAGAUAUGGAAAUUGAAUGAUUGGAAUGUAUUUAAAUGAGGAAGGGUAAUGGACUUAUAAGCAUACCUAAAUGUAUAGCUGGCAAAAGAGGAAACUCUGCAGUUAUUUAUGUAAUCUAAGUUUUUUCUUGAAAUCAAAGUUCCUCAUUUGCAUGUGACAGUCUCAUUGGGCUAUCCUGCUUUUCCUUUUGGAUGUUCUGUACAUCACGUGCUAAUAAAAAUUGCCAGUUGUCUUAAUUAAUCAGCUUUCAAAAAAAGAAAAAGAAAAAGUUGUCUUAAUUAGUUGAUACAUUAAAAGCACUUCAACUCUGAUCAAAACUUUUUAACAUAAUAAAAUUUACUUUAUGGAUUAAUCGCUUGAUGUGCUCUCAUAUUGGCUCUAAUCCGUUUAUGGUUGUCCUUUUGGUUUCAGAUGAUAAAUAAAGGCAAUUACUUAAAGGGAAAUUCUUACAAGGCUCGCAUGAGGGCUUUAAUCUCUAAAAAGAUCCACAGGAAGAAAAAAAAUAUGCUCCCUGCAGGGCCGCGACUGCUGCGUACAGUUUCCAUUCAUCAUUGGGAGUGCGAUGACUAUGUUCUCCCCAAUCAAACAGUUUCUGAUAGAAGUGCUUCUACAAUUGAUUCUACUUCAUGCAAAACUUGUUCUUCUACAUGUUGUCAACACUCUCCGCUAUUGACCAAAGAUAUACUAGUCGAUUACUCAAAAGAAAAAUCAGCAGAAGGUUUAUCGAAGCAAAAGGAAAUGGAUUCUGAAGUUGAAAUAGAUUGUGUGUUAAAAUCAAAAGAUUUUCUCGAUGCGGAGGAGGAGCUCUUAAAUACACAUGGGGAAUUCUUUCCAGAAGUUUUUGCAGAUUCAGGACUUCAUUGGGAAAAUUAUUUAGGUUUUCCUUCUCCUCUCAAAGAAAAAGGCUUAGCAAGAUCUAGCUCAUUCCCAAGAGGCAGAACAAAUCAAAGGUCGUCAAAAGCUAAACAUAAGUCCUCAACUCAAUAUACCAUGAAAAGUGAGCCGAUUUCCGAGCAUUCACCAGAUUCUCCUCAUGAAUCUAUAAUUCAGAGGGAACCUAGAACUUUUGUUGAUCACGUUAAUGACCUCAAACAGAUGAUAAAGGAUGUCUUUGAUGCAAAAAGGAAGGUGGAGCAUCGAAUCUCAAUGGAUGGGGUUUUGGAUAGAGUUCCUUAUGGCCAAAAGGUUUCUGAUGACGAGAUUAAACCAAAGCUGUUUCGAUCUACCUCAGCAAGAUCAUAUAGAGAAACUUCAAGAGAUAGGUUUGAAAUACCUGCUAAUAGGAAUCCACAUGAAAGAAUGAGUAGGUCUCGCUCUCUUGCCGAAUCUGUGGAUAAGUACUCUCACUUGCUUGCAUCUGCUUCGCACAAAGAAGGUAACAAAUUACGUGACAGAUCAAUUUCAAACAAAGAAGGUUUUUCCCAGGACCUGAGGACUCGAAAUGCUUUUCAAAGAAUUGUUUCUACUCCUGAGUAUAGGUCAUAUCAUUUAAGUAUGGAUAUGGAUGCUGACAAUGAAGUACUUCAUGAAGCUUUAUCAUUGAAUAUCUCAACCACAAGUGUUUUGGAUGAGCGACAAGCAAUAGAUGAAGAUGCUACCGAGACAGUAGAAAAUGAGAAGAACAAUACAUGGGAGGUUUUCGAUUUGACCGAAGAGAAGGUGAUUGAUGUUCCUUCUACUGAUCAGGAGACCGAAGUUCUGGAACAGGGAGUGCUAAAUUUUGAUUAUGAGAAGAAUGAUAUUUGUGAGGUUUCAGAUUCAGUAAAUGAAGGCACGAGUAGUGCUCCUUGCAAUGAGCAGGAAAUUGAAAUUAAACUGGACUCAAACUUUGAUCCGAUGAAGCCGAGCCCAACAUCUGUUCUUGAAUUGAGCCCUUCAGACGAUUCUGUUAGUCCUGUGAAAUAUAAAAUUUUGGAAGGUAAUGUUUCUAAACAUAAAUGGCUUUGUAGAGAUAUUAAGUAUACCACCAUUAUAAAAACUGUAUGCAAUUUCAGUUUAUUACAACUAAUUCUUAUGUAAUUAUUCUAAGUGCAAGAUAUAGGUUGCCUUACUACUUUUAUGCUUUUUUAUCUCCAUCCUACUAUAUGAAUCUAUGAUAUCAGAUUGUUAUGGCGGUACGGAGAUGUACAUAGUUUUACUACGAACAUCAAACUUGACUUGUUUUUCUUUUCCUACUUAUAAGAACUGAAUCGCAUCUUUUAAUUGUGUGCUUUUUUCAACCAGAUUCAGACGUAAAUUGUAGAAGCCUUGAUUGCAAUGAGCUGGCUUCUUCAACAAAUUCAAAACUGUCGGACUUUGAAGCACCUUCUUGGGUGGAAACUACUGAACCAACUUGUGAUACUACACAGCAAAAGAACCCUGUUUAUUUCGAAGCACUUAAGAUUGGGCUGGAUCAAAUGAACAGGACUGAGUUCCAUUAUCUAAAACGUGUUCUUGAAAAGUAUUGCUUCAGCAGUGAAGAGUCUUUUGAAACUUGGUACUCUCUCAACCAACACGAUGCAGAUAUUUCAGCAUUCAUCUCCAAUAAUAUUUCUAUUGACGAAGAGCUUUUGGUUGAUCUCAUAAACGAAGCAUCAUACCAAAUUCACGAAAAACAUUCAACUCAGAACCUUUCUUUCUCUCCUGUUGCUUUUCGUCCUAGACGGAAGCCUGCGGGGUACCAUCUCCUUAAUGAGUUGUGGGCACGAAUUAGUUCGCAUCUUGAGCCACAAGUGAAGUCUAAUUACAUGCUUGAAAGUGUCGUGGCUCAGGACUUUGCAAAAAAUGACGGAUGGUUGGACCUUCAAUUGGAUGCUGAGGGCGUGGGGGUGGAAUUGGAAGGUGUCAUAUUGGAUGAUUUAAUCAAUCAGUUAAUUCUCGAUGUUGAUGAAUUCGCCCUUUCUCAGUUGAUAUACUCCGAGUAAGUACUCUACUAAGACACAUAUACAAUACACAAUUCUUUUCCACUCAAUUUUUUUGUAGUGCUCUGUAGUAUAAGCAAUGCUAUCAUUUACAUUCGUUCUGUAUAGACACCAACAAAUCAACACCUAAGGCAUUGUAGUAAUGUUGUAUAUAAGGUAAUGAAUAAAAGAGAAGAUGUAGUAGAUAGGUUGUGGUCAACCAAAGGUGUCUGUUGAGAUCUUGUGGCCCCUUUUUUCUCUGUAGUUGUUGGUGAGAUUUUUCUUAGAGGAGUUCUUGUAUAAGCAAUUAUUUUGGUGAAUAUAGUGAACUAAUAAUGUUUUGCCGCUUGAAUCCUUAAUUUGUUAUUUCUUUAGUUUCCUGUGUUGAUAGAGGUUGUCAGAUGGUUUGAUUGGUUUGGAUAUUUGGUGUGUCUUGUUCUUUUUUAUCAACUGUGGAGAUGCUGAUCUUGUUCUAAACUAUUCUGCUAAAAGCCACAACAACAAUGGUACAAUAUAUAUUCAGAUCACCAAUAAUUACAGCAAGAACAAAACCCACCUUUGAAAUGAUGAAACCUCUUGUUGUCUCUCACCACAAUAUCCCUCCCCACAACUUUCGACACCAGCUUCGCCGCAUUAUGGCAAUCCCUGCACAUCCUAAUGUUCUUAAAAACCCCAAUCUUUGUCCCUUUGCUGGUCUUUAAAAGCCCAAAUGCUAUGGCUUGCUUCUCACUGUGACACCUCAACACCUCAACCUUCUCUUCCUCCUCCAACUCAUGAAGCACUGAACUUGUAUCUGGAACAUAACCUAUUCUUCGUAUCUUUUCCUCCAAAACAUUCCACAUUUUCCGAAUCUCAGUCGACUCAGGAACCCUAGAAUCACCUGCGACAAAGCUAUAAACAUUACCACCAAUGUCAAUCCAGCUGCAACCUGGGUCUUUGAAGAGGCCAUUUUCCUUAAUUCUCUUUCUAAUUCUUCUUACAUCAUCCCACCUCCCAAAACCUGCAUAUAGAUUAGAAGCCAAAACAUAGUGUUCUGUUUUGCUAGGCUCUAACUCCAUCAGCUUCUCCGCAACUUUCUCUCCCAAGUUUAUGUCUCCAUGAAUUCUACAUGCACAAAGUAGUGUACUCCACAUUUUUCCGUCUGGCUCUUGGGGCAUUUCUUCGAUCAGUUUUACUGCAUCGGCCAAUCGACCGGCUCUACCAAGCAUGUCGGCUACGCACGCAUAGUGCUCUAAUUUUGGCUCCAACCCAUGAUUGGUUUUCAUCUCCUCGAAGUAAUUCAAUCCUUUUUCAACCAUUCCAGCAUGGCUGCAUGCCAUUAAUAAACCGACAUAUGUAAACUCAUCGGGCUUCAUCCCCUCUCUCUGCAUCUCAUUAUAUAGUUUGAUGGCUUCGUCGGCGUACCCAUUAACCCCGUAUCCUGUGAUCAUCACGGUCCACAAAACCACGUCUUUGUUUUGCAACCUGUCGAAGAAACUUCUAGCUUGUUCGACAUACCCACACUUUGCGUACAUGUCUAUGAUCGAGCUACCGAUAAAUGGGUCUUCAGUGAACUCCGCCUUCAAUGCGAAACAAUGAGCCUCUUUCCCUAAUCGGACAGCCGACAACUGAGUGCAAGCCAUGAAUGCGCUUGUCGUGGCAAUAAUCGAAGGACGGUUACUACUAAUUAGCAUUUUGCGGAAGAGAUUAAGGGAUUCCUCGGGCAACCCAUUCUGAGCAUACCCAGCAAUCAUAGCAUUCCAAGAAACCAAAUCCUUCUCCUCCGUUUCAUCGUAUAAUAACCUUGCAGUAGAUUCUUUUCCACAUUGUAUGUAAAGAGAUAGAAGAGAGAUGUUAAUGAAUGAAUCUUUCUCCAAACCAUUCCUUAAAACGAACCCAUGAGUCGAUUUCCCAUAUCGGAGAUGCUUCAUAUUAGCACAAGCUAAAAGCAAGCUGCCGAUAGUAAACCAAUCAGCUUCAAACCCUAAAGAAGACAUCUGAAGGAAUAGAUCUACUGCGAUGUUAGGAUCGCCAUUUUGGGCGUGACCGCCGAUUAGGGCAUUCCAUAAGCUCACGGUCUUAAUCUCAGUUCCAUUGAAUACGUCAUUGGCAUAAUCGAGCGACCCACACUUUGCGUAUGCUGCGAUUAGGGCAUUCGGUACCAACUCGUUGAUCUCCAACUCAUUUCUAAUCACAAAACAAUGAAUUUCUUUCAAUUUCGAAAGCUCUGAUCUGCUUGAAAAAGCCGGUAGGACAUUCAAGACCGUGACUUCAUUUGCAUUUAUUCCCUCCCCCGUUUGCAUUUCGCGCAAAAGAUUGAAUGUCUCAGCAAUAUCUCCAUUCCUCGCAUAGCCACCAAUCAUGGCAUUCCAAGAAACCACAUUUCGUCGAGCACUUUCAGAAAACAAGCACUCCGCGUCCGGUAAAUUACCGCAUUUCGCAUACAAAUCGAUCAACGCAUUGUUCACUCUCAGCUCAUGAUCCAAGUCCAAUUUCACUGAUAAUCCAUGAACCACCCUCCCCAUUUCAACCCAUCCUCCUACUGUGCACAUCGGAAGUACCGUCACCACCGUCGCAUCGUCCGGUCUCAUACCACCUUCGCCGAUCGCCAACAUCUCCCUAAACAAAUCAAAACCCUUAUGCAACAACCCAUUCUCAGAAAAAACGCAUAUCAUAGUAUUCCAAGAAACUAAAUUUCUGUCGGGCAUUUUGUCGAACACGCGAACCGCGUCGUCGACGGAACCGCACUUCCCGUACAUCGACAUCAACGAAUUGCUCACAAAAGUGUCCGCGCCCAACCCCAAUUUCACAGCUAAUCCAUGAACGGUUUCCCCAAGCCCCACAUCCAAAACCCCCGCGGAGGACUUUAACACGCAGGGCAGAGUAAAAGUAUCGGGCUUGAUAUCGGUGUCGGAGAUCAAUCGCACGAACACGUCGAGCGCUUCUCCAAAAAGCUCGUUUUUGGCGAGCCCGCUGAUCAUGGCGUUCCACUGGAACAGGUUCCGCCGCUCCAGGGCUUCGAAGACGCGGCGCGCGUCCGCGGCCGCGCCGCACGCGGCGUACAUGGUGAGGAGCCGCGUGGUGAGCACCGCGUUGCGCAGAAGCGCUUCCGAGGACGCGACGAGGCCGUGGACGCGGCGCCCCGCGUCGAGGUCCCGCGCCGCGGCGCAGGAUCGGAGGAGGCGGCCGAUGGCGUCCGCAUGCGACGCCGACGCCGCCGCCGCGUCGGGGCAGAGGAGGAGGAGUCGGAGGGCAUUUUCGACAUUUCCUUCGUCCGGGGCGGGGACUAGCUCUUUUGGGGAGGGUUUGGGGGACGUUUUGGUGGAGCGGAGGGAGAGGGUCGCCGCUGCGCCUGGGGUGGUUUUGGGGGUAGUUUUGGGGUAGGCGUAGCGUUGGGUGGGGGUGCGCUUCAGAAGAGGAGGGAGAGGGGAGGUGGAGAGUGUUGAAGCAGAAGCCAUUGUAGGAUAAGAACAGUUAUCUUCUUCAAAUUUUAUAAUUUUAUAUUUACGACGAUAAAUAAAAUAUUAAAAAAAAAACACUUUUUCUGAAGUAGCAAAAUAAACGAAAAAAAAAGCUUUUUUUCAAUUAAAAAAUUGGUGUUGGAUAAAUAGAGGCGUUAACGGGGCCAAAAAUUUCGUGAGCAUCGUUUCAAAUUAUUUGGGUUAGGAACGAUGCGAAUGAAUGUCGUGUGGCCCAUUCAACAGUUGCCCAUGAAAGGAAAAAUAAAAAUAAUAUCAUGUGUUUUCAGAGAGAGAGAGAGAGAGAGAGGGGCAAAAAUGAGGGUGACUGUUGGAUAGGUCACGCAGCAUCUAUCCUUAUCGUUUCGAAACUAAUAGUUUGGAAACGGUGCCCAAAAAAAUUGUCCAGUUCUUGGACUAUUCAUUUCACGAUAUACUUUUUGUUACACACUGUAGUCUUUAAAUAAUUAUUUCGUAUAUAUUAUAUAUUUAUUUUUGUUAUUAGGAAUUAAAACUAUAAAAUAACUUUUUAAUCUUGUGUUAUCAACAUUUGGAUUAUCAUUCAUCAAUGGUCAAAUUAAUCAUUUCUCAACAGAGCAAGAAAGAAAUUACUAGCUGGAUAGAAAAACUAUAUAUAUAUAUAUAUAUGUAAUAUAAAUUAUAUUUAAGAGUCAUCAUCUUGGGAGAAUGUUUACAUGAGAUAGUAACCUUAGAAAUAGAAAUGCGUAUUUAGAAAACAUAAGCCCCGUAAAUAGCUUAUAUAUAUUUAUAGAGCUUUAUAUCUUUCUCAUUUGCAGCAGCCAAAGGUGUCACAAUUGCAGUUUGGUCCACAUUUGCAGUUGGGUCCUCCACUCUCCAUCUCAAGCCCUUCAACAUGCCUGCGGAGUCGAAUUAGUCACGUAAAUAUCAAUUUUGACAGGGGUUUGUAAGUAAUUAAAAAUAAAUUGCAUGCACGUAAAAGAGUAUAUAUAUAUAUAUAGAGAGAGAGAGAGAGAGAGAGAGAGAGAGAGAGAGAGAGAGAGGUUUUGGUAGCAAAGCUCUCUCCUCCGCUGAACCCUGGGCGCAUGUUGCACCUGCAAUGUAAGUACGUAAUGAACAAAUUAAUUACUUAAUCAGCAUCUUUACAUAAACAUCCCUAUAGAUUGAAAAUAUCACAGUUUCCUCCCCCGCAGCAGCGGUUGCUGCAGCUGCAGCUCGAAUCAGCACAGCAAGAGCACUUCCCUCCACCGCAGGACAUUUUGUUUUCUGCGGUAUGGGGAUAAAAGAAUCUGUUGCUUAAUCUCUUCAUCGCACAAGCUUGAGUAGUAGUUGUGAUUUGUGAAGGGUUGUGCUCUCUAUUUAUAGAAGUAAUGAUAGUAACAAGAGAGAACCAAACUGAGUGCGUCACGUUCACGCACAUGCAACGACAAAAAUUUUGUAAGUAGCUCUUUUUUACGAGUUGGAUAUGUUCGAAAAAGAAAAGAAAAAAUUAAAGUAGCAUUUAGAUAAAGAGAUAUUCAUAUCAAUUACACUAGCAGUAAGCCAAUAAAUAAAAUAAAUAAUCAAUCAGAACGUAUUUCAAAGCAUUAGUGUUGAGGAAAUAUCUUUCUUUGAUUAUGUUGCUUAUGUUGGUCCCAUAGUGAAUUUUAUAUCCUUUUCUUUCGAAAGAAAUGAUAUGCCAUUAUAUUCUUUAAGAAUCGUGCUAAAUUGUAUUAAUAGUACUGUUACACUUUUUAUUUGAACGGCUGUGUGAGGCUAGCUCGUAAGCAUCUCCUUUUGACUCCAUCUUAAUUCUGACCUUGGAAAUUAGAAAAUUGAUCUCAUGUUUGGGAACUACUAGUGGAUUUUAUCCUUUUGUUUUUAAUUGAAGAAAAACACUUUCUUCAACAAAAAUAAUUAGAGACAUAAAAUUUGUCAAAAUCUCUAGUUAAUUUAAUAAAAUUUUUCAGUUUAAUUGAAUGAAACAAUACAAAUCAAAAUAAAUGGAAAUUAUGGGAAUGCCAAAGAAAAAAAGAAAGAAAUUUAGAAAAAAAAAAAGGACUCAAUUUUUUGCCUUGUUGUGCAUCAUCCGAGCACUCCUAAUUCCAAGUCAGGGUAUACACAAGUCUAAAGUGAAAGUGCAAGUCUCCUCCAUUAUCUUUAGUGGAACAUGAGACUUACUUUGCUGGGUCUUUAGAAUCCUUCUUCAAUCAACAGGUCAACUGAGAGGUCUUGCAAGUUAAACUGGUUUUAAAUCAUACAUAAUAAUGUUGCUCGAUCUCUCCUCCUCAAUCUAAACAAAUAAGAUAAUAAAUCGUUAUCAGUGCAUGUGCUAGCUCCCAUUAAUUAAGUCCAUGUCUACUCCAACCUACUACCUCCUCUCCCUCUUCCUCUUCCUCUUCUUCAACUUCCAUGCUGCCAAUCCUUCUCCUCCUCCUCCUCCUCCAUGCCCUACAGCCCAGAUCUCAUGUGGAGGUAUCACUUGGGCUAUUAAGCCUCCUUUCUUCACAAACAGUGCCACAACUUCAGACCUGCAGUGUCAGAAGCUUCACCUCAUCCAGUGUGUGUAUCAGAGACUACUGGUCCAAUUCUAUGGCACAGGAUUCUUCUAUAUUGUUACAAAUAUCUCAUAUUUUGAUCGGACAAUUCAAGUCGACGAGCUCAACCUUUACCCUAGCACAUGGAAUUCUAACUGUUCCUUCCUCUAUAGUUUCAAGAAUCCCACCCCUAUCAGUAAUCUUAGCCGACUCACUUCGCAUGUAAGCGCCGCCCUCUCAUCGUUCAGCUGCAGUAUGCUGGAGAAUGAAUACAAUAAUUACCAGGACAUCUUCGGCAGUCUCCUUGGUCCUCUUUCUUGCGAGAAUUACACCCUCUUCUUUUCCAAGUAUAUAGAUGCACAAAUUGUUUUCAUGUAAUGUACUUUUAUGAUUACAUUUACAUUACUAAACUAAACGCAUGCUUAAUUUUAUUGUUUGGAAUCUGAUAGAACCAUGCAAUUGAAAAUUAAAGGUUUCGCUCUGAUUUAGGGUCUAAAUAACUAAUCCGUAGUGCAAACUUUUUUUUAUAUAUUUAUCGAUCUGCAGAGAUAGAUAUGAAUUGUCGAUCUCUAUCAUUACGUAUUAAAUAUAAAAAGAAAAAUAGUCGGAUCCAACAUAUCGAAUCUUGAUAGGUGGCAGCAUAUGUAGGGAGUGGCACUAUAAUUUUUUUUUUUUUUUUUUCUCACAAAUGUUGAUUCAUAUAUAUUGCUUUACAUAAUAUCAAGCUUCUAGUUAAGCAUCCAUUGAAUUUGCUAUGGGCAUAAAUUAGUCGGAAUCAAAGCUUAUCUCCACAUGCAGUGGACUAGACAAUCUAUGGGGCCACCAUUAACAAAAGCUUAGUGUGAUUCUUCUAAAUAUCUUUUCAAAAAACAGCUUAAUAUUAUAUAUAAUGAUUGAUAAAUAAAUCAUUCAAAUAGAAGUAGUACAAAGUUCUAAAGAUGCAAAGAAAAAAUAUAUGGGUAAGUAAAAGAUACUCCAAUUUGGUAAUGGACAAUGAGAGAUAGGAAUAUGGUGUGGCUUAAAUGAACCUGCUUUUUAUCCUAUUUCGAGUAAAUCGAAAGCAAAGAAGCCAUCCUAUGGAAAAAGGAAAUUGAUCAUUCAUUAGAAAAAUUAAAGUUCAGAGGGAUGUAAUAAUAAUACGUUUAAGGAAUAUUACAGUGUUUAAGUUACAAAUUUGUACAGAGUAAUCGAGUCACGACGCUGAAAUAAAUAGGAACUAUUACUACAUUUUUUGCACUAUGUUUGGACACUAUUAUUUGAUUCUAAUAUUUGAUUCGAGACCGAAGAGAAAAGGUCUAUAAAGAGAAGUGUAAUUUGUCGGGCUCAAACCAUGCACUGACCCAUGAUGACAAAUUAUCAUAUGCUUUUACCACUAUGGCUACUAAUUAAUGAUUGGCUCUAAUGGAUAAUAAUUGUUAGGGGAUGUUGAUAUGCCGCAUAUAUAUCCGAUUAUACAGUACAACCUAACUACUACUGUUAACAGUGUUACUACGAAUUUUGGAGGAUGGCAUUUACUAUGCAUGAGGAAUUCAAUUAAUACUUUCUUUCUUUCUUUUGUGUCACGCAUCAUUGCAUAUAUAUGUUGAAUAUAUAAAUAUUAAAACUUAUUUUUUGGUAACUCAAGCAUUUACAUAUUAGAAGCAAAAGUUUUGAACUCGAGUUUUGUCAGAUUCUUAACUUUAUUUAGUUUUCUCCCAUUUCAUUCAAAUUUACGUCAUCAACUUAACAUAAAGCCUUUAGUCCAUGCUUGAGGAGCGUGUUGAGCCUAUUUGAAAAAAUCUCGGAUCCAAAUGCAUAGCGCAAUGUUAAAUAUAAAUAUUAUAAAUACUCUUCUCUGGCAACAAUAAUAGGAAUAACUAAUCCAAGUAAAAAAUGAUCGUCUAUUAUUAUACCACCUAUACGUGGCCACACAAGAUACUUAAUCUUUUAUAUAUAUCAACAAAAACAUACAUACAUAUUAAAAGCCAUUUAAUAUAUAUCAAGGAGAAUGAUACAGGAUUGGAAAAAGUAACACAGGAUACAGCACUUUUCUCCGCUUAUUUUAUAACCAUAACCAUUCAUACAUUAUAACAUUAGAACCAGAGACCCAUCACUAUAGCAAAUAUAUAUAUAUAUAUGUCUCCCCAUAGUUUAGCUCGCAUAAACAUAUUUAUUUAUAGCAAAUAUAUAUAUAUGUCUCCCCAUAGUUUAGCUCGCAUGAACAUAUUUAUUUAUGCGCCCUUAUUUGCAUCCGCAGCAACUGCAGUUGCAGUUGGGGCCGCACGUGCUGCUGCACCCUCCUUUGUCACACUCCCCACUCGCCACCUCAAACGAUUCAAAUUUCCUGCAAAUUAAAUUCAAAAAAAAUCUCAUGCAUUUGAUUUGGUACAUAAUAAUUGUUAUCGAAAAUAUACAUCCAAAAAAAGAUAAGUUAAGAAAUAUUAUUAAAACUCUCGGUCACAUAUAUGAUGAAUAUCAGAUAAAUCAUAUUACGUGUAUCGACAGAAAAGAUAACAGAUUAAUUCGAUAAUAAGAUUCAGUACCCCUUCUGGGGAGCAGCAACGAAGAUCAUGGUUUGGGUGGUGACCAUCCCCUCUCCACUCAAAUGAGGGUACAUUUUGCACCUGCAUCCACACAAGAUCAAAAAGGAUAACAAAUUUCAAGUUAUAAUUAAUUAAUUAAGCGUAAAUGCAAAUCUGUUCGUAUAAGAAUAAAUAUUUGCAAACAGACCCUCCGCAUCCGCUGCCACAAUUGCAACCAGAGCCACAACCACAGUUCCCUCCGCAGCAGGACAUUUUCUCUUAAGAGCUUUUGCUUCAGAAUUAAAUAUGAAAACUAUUACAAAGGAUUUGGAUCUCUUAAACUUAAAGCUUGUGUGGAUAUUGAGACCAAGCCAACCUAUUUAUAGAGGAAUAGGAGAGAGAGAGAGAGAAUUGUGAACCGUACACGUGUCAGAAUCUGUCCCUUUAGAAACUAAAAUUAUAAAUGCCCUCAAUAAAUGAUGUUCAAAGGUAUUUAUAUAUCUCUUUGUUUGAGUCCAAAAUUUUUUAACAUGGCAUCGAAAUUUAGUUCACAUAGUUUAAUUUGUUAUCUCAUGCACCUUGAAGGUGAGUUUGCUCUCGUGCUAUGCGUGCGCAUGUUUUGAGUUGAUUCGAAGGUUUUUAAUUAACAUCAAUAAUAAUUUGAUCUCAAAUAUUUAAAAAGACUAAUUGCUUGUUAUAUUAGUGGCAUAUAUUUUCUAUUUAGACUAUGUUUGAUAUUGCAAAAAAUUUAUGUUUGGUGCGGUGAAAAGAUAUAAUAAAAAAAUUAUUAAAUUUUUAUGUCGUCCGAUCAGAAACAGAAAAAAAUAGUUCUCUAUAUGCUUUAGUACCGAUUCUGUUUUGUCAACUAGUAAUAGAUGAGUUUCAAUAUCAAACGGGUCCUUAGGCAAAUAUAUCACAUCUUGAUUUCGAGUUUCUCGUAAUAAGUUUUGUCGUGACCUGAAUUUUCACCUAAAUUUGAUUAGGCAUUAGAGUAUGAAUUGAGCACUCUAAAACCACACCAAAAGAAAGAUUGAAAUAUAAGAAACCAACUUUUCAAAGCAAUAGCAUCAUAAUAAAGGAUCGCUCAAAUCACACUUUUUUUAGAUGCUUUUUUUUUUUUUUCUUUUGCAGCUCAUCUUUAUCAAAGAAUGGAUAUGAGGAGUUAAGGGACCACCACUUUUUUUUUAAAAAAAAAAAAACUAUAGGGUAGGGUUUCCAUAGAAGGAAAAAGGAUCAUGAUAGGGGAGAUCACACAACACCCCACCUCAUGAAAAAUUGUUUACUGCACGAAAUUUACCCGGUGCAAGUAAUAAAUUCUCUUAAGACUUAUUUGGUUUACGAUAUUUAAAUUUUUUAAUUUUUUAAAAUUAUUAUCAUCAAAAUUAUUUUUUUUUUUUUGAGAAAGUAUUAUCCUCAAAAUUAUUACACCAGAGGAAAACUGAAAAGUUCCCUUUUUGGGUAGUCAAAAAAUAGACUUGUGAAAGAGGGCCUAAAUUGUGCUAGGCCCAAUAGGACAAAGCGGGCCUAACAACGGCCCAUGAUUAAAUGGGCCCGAUAACAAAUUUCCGAGCCCAUGUAAUAUUGACACGUGGACUCGUGGGCCCACAUUUCAAUCAACGGCCCGCGCGCACGAUCAACAGCAUCUGACGGUGGAGGUUCCUUCAACAUCGAUGGAGUUUGGUGGGGCCCAACUCACGGCCUACCUAUUUAGAACCCGGCCCAACAAUACAACAUGGAUUCGGCCCGGGCCAAUGCGUAAUAUGCGAUUUUUUUUUUUUUUUUUUUAAUUCUCUCCUCCUAGUUGUUUUCACUGGUAUCUCUCCGACAAGGGAUCGUUCAAAGGAAGGAGCAGUGAAUGAACCCUAAUUUACGUUUUACGGAUUCGUCCUCUCCCCCCCUUUCGUCUGAUGCUCGUCGAGCCCUAACGAUCUGAUCGGCGAUCCCCUUCUCCAGGUUCGAACCCUAAUCCAAUCCGAUUGUACGAUUUCAUAGGGUUUCUCUUUGAUCCCAACGAGCUCAAUCGCUCAUCUAUGCAAAUUUUUGUCCAUUUCUGUGUGCAAUCAUUGUGAUUGUUGGCGCUUUUGUUUGCUGCAGCAGAUAUCGACCUCGUCGUUUAGAUUUUUUAGCUCACGAGGGUUUUUGCGGUGUAAUUGUUGGUGAAAUAGCCGAUGCAUGAUUUUGUAGAUGCCUAAAAGAUGAUGAGCUUAGCUAGGGUUCGUUACAAGGAUUGACAACACAAAACCCUAAUUGUUUUUCCUGAUUAGUGUUUACGAGUAUCGAAUUUAGCACUGGGAAGAUGCUCCUCGGCACAUCCGUUCAGGUUUUUGCAUCUAAACCCUUGUUAGUACCAACACCGUUGACCUCCCCGGCAAGCCAAUUUCAGAACUUUGGCCCUCAUCUUCCCCCAAAACCCUCGAAGAGGAAACUUAUUACUCCGAUAAAGGCAAGUUCUUCUGGUUCUAGCCAUAACCCAUCACCUUCCCGAAAAGGAAACAACCCGCUUACACUCAUUCUCGAUGUGCCGAAGGCUUUGUGGCGGCAGACCUUACAGCCGCUAAGUGAUUUUGGGUUUGGUCGGCAGAGCAUAUGGGAAGGAGGGGUUGGGCUUUUUAUGGUGUCGGGGGCGGCUCUUCUUGCUCUCACUAUAGCAUGGCUAAGAGGAUUUCAGCUGAGAUCGAGGUUCAGGAAAUAUCAGACGGUUUUUGAGUUCUCCCAGGCUUGUGGGAUUUGUGUGGGAACGCCUGUUAGGAUUCGCGGUGUGACGGUGGGAAGUGUGGUUCAGGUUGACUCGUCGCUAAAGAGUGUUGAUGCAAUUGUUGAGGUGAGCGUUUGUACUUUAGAUUCUAUGGAAAAUAAUUUAUUAAUCUAAGUGCAUUUUUUAUGACUAUUCUGGAUAUAUUAUUAACAUAUGAUUUUGCUGUCGAGAAGUUGUUUUAGCGUAGUUAUUCUGCAUUUUCCCAGGACUUGAAUGUGUUCAAUGUUAUGUUGCAGAAGUGUACAUUUCACCUUAUAUCCCCAUUAUUUUACAUAUAGUGGCUACAUUUAACCUUUAUUUUUCCUGCUCAACAUAUUCAACAUUGAGCAGGUGGUGAGGUAGCUUCUUUUUUUUUUUGGUUUUUUGAUUUCAGGUAUUCAUUGAUAUGCAUCAAUUUCGAGAAAAACAUUUGUAGUCAUUAUUGGUGCCUAGGACUUGAAUGUUUUCACUAGUACAUUGCAUAAGUCUGAAGUUAACCUUGCAUGUCCAUGUUUCUUAUUGCUUUAUGGGAGCAGUAAUUCACAAAGAGCGACUGUUAUUUGUUGAAUGAAGAUGUAAACUUUUGAAUGUUAUUUAAUUUUUGUUCUGCAACUUCUGCAGAUGCGUUCCUAGUAAUGCUAAACAUGUAAUUUAAGCAGCGGUUUAUUUCCUUUUUUUCUUUUGUGUUGCUUUCGAAGCUGUUCAGAAGCUUUACCGUUACCAAAGUGGAUGUAACUUGUAAGGAAUGCAAAGCUUGCCAUAUGUUGUGUACAAAUAUUAUGAUAUUGAAGAAGUUGAUAUGCUUUAAUUUUCCAUAUUGAGGAUGAAUAAGGAAUCAUGAAUUCAUGAUUAUUAGAAUUUUUAGAUGCAUAAAUUUAAACCGUCAACAUUUGUCACUUUUUGGUUUUUUAGUUAGGAUAAGAUGGAGCUAGUGUCCCAAUUGAUACUUUAUUUGGCAGGUUGAGGAUGAUAAAUUCAUUGUACCUCGAAAUUCGUUGAUUGAGGUGAAUCAAUCGGGCCUUCUGAUGGAGACUAAAAUUGAUAUUACUUCAAGAGAUCCGCUUCCCACGCCUUCUGUUGGCCCGCUUGACCCAGCUUGUGUUAAAGAAGGUCUUAUCGUCUGCGACAAGGAAAGAAUGAAAGGACAGCAAGGGGUUAGCUUGGAUGAAUUAGUUGGAAUAUUCACCCGUCUUGGACGAGAUAUGGAGGAAAUUGGUGUUACCAGAAGUUAUAGAUUGGCUGAGAAAGUUGCUUCCAUGAUGGAGGAAGCGCAGCCUCUCAUCGCAAAGGUGCGGAGAGUUCUCCAGUUUCUUGGUUCAUCAUAUUUUUGCUUUAUUUUAAACAAUUCAUGCAAACACUAUCUGAACUAUACUUCAUUUUGAAAUGGCUAUAUUUAAACUUACAAGGUAUCGAUUUCAACCUAGCUUCUUCUUUUAUUAGUAUUAUUAUUUUUGUAUUUUUCUUUUUCAAAUUUGUACCUCUCUGUAUUGCUUUCGCUUCCUCUCUGAGAAUUAAAGUACAUUCAGUUCUCCUUUACUGGACUCGAAAUUUUUGUGCAUCUAAACUCCAAUAUUAGAGCCCAAAGAACAUCUGUUUCCUCUUAAUGUCUUCUUUACUUCGUCUGUUACUUUAAUUUUGCUUAGUACGUCUUUUGAAUUCACUCUAAAUCUUUGCAGUUCCUGAAUUUUUUUUUUUUUUAAAGAUUAAAUCAUGUUGAGCUAUAUAACAUGUGUUUGAUACACAUGCUUACAUGCAUAGUAGUUUGCUUUAGUGAUGUAACAGAUUGAAGCCUUAGCUGAAGAUAUUCAACCUUUGCUUGCUGAGGUUCGCGAUAGUGCUCUUCUAAAGGAUGUGGAGAGCUUAACCAAAACUCUAGCCGAAACAACCAAUGAUUUGAGGUCAGUAUUAUAUCUAUGAUAUAUUCAUUAUGUGUAUAACAUUUGAAAAAUAUGGAAGGAAACUUCUUUGCUUGAAAUGUUUUCUAUAUGUGUUAUCGUACAGAAAGGUGCAAUCUUCCAUUCUUACCCCCGAGAAUUCUGAUCUGGUUAGGCAGUCUAUUUUCGCCCUUAUAUUCACACUGAAAAACAUCGAGGUUAGCUGUUUUACUUUUUUUUUUUCCAACGUCAAAAUAGAAGCAAAAUUUUAUCAAAUUCUUACCGAGUUCAUAAUAAUCAUAGAGUAUCACCUCCGAUGUAUCUGGUUUCACGGGUGAUGAGGCUACAAGGCGGAACUUGAAGCUGCUUAUUAAGUCUCUCAGCAGACUUCUGUAGUCAUUGCAGGUUAGUCAAUCUAUGAAGCAGUGAACGAUUUUGUGAAGUGAUACCUCAGAUAUAUUUUUUAUUUUCAAUUGAAGAUAAGGGUAAUUAUUUUCAGAUUGUUUCUUCGUUAAAUUUUGUACUUAAAUGUGUUCUUUCAUAUUGUUUUCUUUAGAAGAUUUCCAUGCAUCUAAGCCCCAUGAAAUCAAGCGCUGUGUUGCUUAUGCUGUUUAAGCUUUUGCCGAGAGAAUUCGGUAUAAUAAGUUUCAUACAGAUUUUGCUUUGGGAUGCUCUGAUCGAGAGCGCCGUGGACCGAUGAAUCAUUUUGUUUGUUUUUAAAGUCAAUCUUUUGUUGCGAAGAAAUAUUUAGCUGUAAAUUUAAAGCAUUUUUGUGGGGUUGGGGCAUCCUAACUGUUUGAUUUUGGUUUUGUUUGGCUCAUCAGAGGACGUUUGAUCGAUCUGUUUGUGAUGGAUAUCAAUCAUUCUGUGCGUGUUCGUGAAGUAAAAGUGUGAUAAUGUAUUGUAUGUCAGAGUUUUAGGGCCCAUUUUGUGGGGUCCAUUUCGUCGCAUUCGGCCCGAUUUUUUUAGAGUCGGGCCCGAAAGGUAUCUUUCGGGUCCAGUACGACUCGACUGGGCCUCUGGACCAAAUGUAACACUGCGCACGUGACCGGCACGUGCUUCGUUAAUAACUCGGCUAGAUAAUAUUUUUCCUUGUUCAAUAAUAAAUCGACUAUUGGAAAAAAAAAAAAAAAAUUGGAUUGUUGAAUUCUCUUUUCUAUGAAAAUGUUUCUUAUUACGGUCUAUUUGGUUGACGGUAUUUUUUAAAAGGCCUAGAGAUGGGGCGGCUGAUUGCGAAAUUUUAUAUUUCUUUUAUCACAGAAAUUUAACAUAGCAUGAAUUAAAAUUUUUUGCGUAUACAAUCCGUUAAAUCUUGAGAUUUGAAAAUUCACUUCUUUCCUCGAUAAAUAAAGUUAUGAAUACUUUAAAAUUUAUAAAUAAUUAAAUAUGUUAUAUUUGCAUACUCAUGCUUACUAUAUCACUAAUUUUGUGUAAAAGGAUUUUAUUAUUCUAGUCUCUAUAAAGAAAAAGAUGUAGUAGUAAUUCUACUGUGAAAUUUAAGUUUCGUGAGCCAAGCAUGUCCUGACAUAUUGAGCAAUCCAAACUAGUUUGAUUUACUUCCUUUGUGCAAACAAAAUUAACUACUUAAAUAACGAUCUACAAUCUUUGGCUAUAAUUUAAAUUCUAAAACUCUUUAUUUUUUGGAAGCUAUUCAACGUAAAAUCACCCAUUCUAAGUUUACUUUAGAGCCAGAAUUAUUAUUUUUUUACAUAUAAAUAAAUAACAAGUUGAUUUUAUAAAAUUUCAAUGUUUCAUUUCAUCUUUAAACAACCAUAAAUUUGGACCUUUGAACAUAAAAAAUGACAUGAAAAUUUGGUCGAAAAAAAAAUCGUAUUUCCUAUCAAUUAACAAUUUAGGCCGGGGAAAAAGCCCAUAUACACAGUCCAGUAGUCAAUAGAUUCGGGCCCAAAUCGAUAGGAUCGAGCGUUGGUCCUGUAUUGGGCCGGGCCAUAUUUUUAUAGGUAGUUCAAAGCAGGCCUAUAUUGCCACGGGAGUCCGCUCACCGCCAAGUGAGCUCACCCCCUAUUCAAUUUCAUCUCUUUUGAUGCAAAAUAAUUUUUUUGGCGGAGUUUUAAUAAAAACACUACGAGGUUACGCUUACCGUGCGGUGACCGUAUCGCCGAGUGGUCUACAGUUCCGUUUGAGUUCGACUCACCGCGCCUCGGCUCGAGUGAGCUGAGACCCAAAAUAACCAUUUUAAUUUUAAAAUUUUUUAAGCCAUGUUUAUUUUAACUUUUUUAACAAAGUUUCCUAAUAGUAUGCUACUUUAAAUCAGCCAUGUAUCUUAUAAUUUUGUUAAUUUCAAUUAGCAUUUGAAUGAAAUUUACGAGUCGGUCAUUCUUAAAAUAUUUUUAUUCAAAAUUCAAAAUUUUUUUAAUAUUUUUUAUAAUAAAAUAUUUUCUUAUUGCAGCGCAAAUUUUCUUCCUCAUCACAUCACAUGAUGUAAACAAUUAAAUUGUAGAUUUUACUAGUGCUACCGAACGGUUGACAAACUUCUUCAUUUUAAUAAUUUUUAACAUAAUUUAAGGAAUAAUAUGAAAGGACAAAUAAUCUUCAUUAAAAGCCUCACCAUCUUGCAAGGCAUCAUCACACGAAAGAGAUUAACAUUAAUUAGUAAAACAAGUAAUUUUAUUAUAAAAUUUAAGUUUCGUGCGCUAUAUGAUAUUGAGCAAUCCAAACUUUCUUUCUGCAAACAAAAUUAACUAUUUAAAUUACGAUCUACGAUCUUUCGUUACAAUUUAAAAAUUUGUAAUUCUUACUUUUUGAAAGCUAUUCGAUGUAACAAUCCGUUCUAACUUUACUUUUGAGCUCGAAUUCUUUUUUUUUUUUUUAUAAAUAAUGAGUUGAUUUUAUUUUCAAUUUGUUUCAUAUCAUCUUUGAGCAAUGGUAAAUAUAGACCCUUUAUUAUGAAAAAUGAGACGAAAAUUUGCGUAAAAAUAUCGUAAAUUUUUUUUUUUUUAACUCCUAUCAAUUAGGAUUUGGGCCGGAGAAAAGCCCACGCACGGUCCAGUAGUUAAUAGAUUUAGCCCAAAUCGGUUAGUAUCGAGUUUUUGUCGCAUAUUGGGCCGGGAUAUAUUUGUCAUGAGUCCAGUCACCGCCCAGUGAGCUUACUGCCCCUGCAGUUUCGUCUCUUUCUCUGUAAAAUAAUUUUUUGGUGGAGUUUUCGUCAGAAAACCCCGAGGUUAAAAUUACCGCGCGGUGAGCGUAUCGCUGUUGGCAGUUCGAGGAGCCGGAAUUCAAAAUAACCAUUUUAAUUUUAAUUUUAAUUUUAAUUUUUUACCCAAAAUAAUCAUUUUGACUUUAGAAUUUUUUUAGUCAUUUAUAUUUUAUUUUAUUUUUUUUAACAAAAUUUUCAAGUUGUAUGUGACUUUAAAUCAACCAUUUAUCUAAUACUUUUGUUAAUAUAUAUAUAUAUAGUAAGGUUAUUGUACUCUUAUGAAUAUAUAACUAUUUAUACUCAUAAAUUGCUGUUGUACUUUUAUGAAUAUAGACCUCUUUAUACUCAUAAAUUUUCAACCGUUGGAUGAAAAAAUAUGUGGCUAGGAUGAUAGUGAUCCUCUAAGGUUGAAUGGGUGGUUAGUUGAAUAGUAUAAUCUAACGGAUGGAAAUAAUCAAAGAAGUAGAUCUAACGGCUAAAAAUUUAUGAAUACAAAAAAAUCUAACUCAUAUGAAUAUAAUAGCCGGACUAUAUAUAUAUAUAUAGUCCCAUCAUUUUGAGGCUACUCGUUCACUAGACAAACGAAAUCAAAAAAUUAUGAAAAUUAGUUUCUAGAUAGUUCCAAUAGCGUAGAUCAAGUUAACGAAACCGAUCGCCGAAUCGGAUGUCCCAUCAUCGAAAACAACUUACAAGCACGGGGCCUCCCAUACUUUCGAAAGCAUAGGAGCCUAACUCUAUAUAUAUAUAUAUAUAGUGGGCUGGUAUGCUUAUGGAAGCACGGAGCCAUCCGUACUUCCAAGUUGUUUUCGAUGUUCGGACUUUCGAAUCGACGAUCGGCUCCGUUAGAGUUGAUCUAGAGUAUUUGAAGUAUCUAGAAAAUAAAUUUUGUGAUUUUUCGAUAUCAUUUGCCUAGUGAUCGAAGGGGCACAAAAUCAAUAAUUUUAAGGGCCGUGGUGAGCCGGGUUGUAAGUUUAACGGUGCAGAAAUAUCCAAAUCAUAUGAAAUUUUGAUAGAAAAUUCUUUAUACCAUAUAAAACAAGAUCAAUAAUUUUGAUCUAAAAUUUUAAUGUCAUAUCAUCAUAUUUUGUAAGAUUUUUAUUUUCAGCCGUUGAUUUUGAGCCACUUCGAUCACUAGGCAAAUGAUAUCGAAAAAUUACAAAAUUUAUUUUCUAAAUACUUCAAAUACUCAAGAUCAAGUCUAACGGAGCCGAUCGUCGAUUCGAAAGUCCGAACAUCGAAAACAACUUGGAAGCACGGAGGGCUCCGUGCUUCCAUAAGCAUACCAGCCCACUCUAUAUAUAUAUAUAUAUAUAUAUAUAUAUAUAUAUAUAUAUAUAUAUAUAUAUAUAUAUAUAUAUAUAUAACAUCGAGUGCUUAGUACUAUUAAUAGUAUAAUAGCCUAAUUCUCAAAAUAGUUUUAUUCAAAAUUCAUAACUCUCGAAUGUUUUUUCACUUUAAAAUAUUUUUUAUGGCAGCGUAAUUGUGCUUCCUCAUCCCAUGAAGUUAAACAAUCUACAAAAAAGAAGGGCUAAUCAACUAUCCUAAAAGUACGUUCCGAUAGGAAUGACGUAUCCAUCGUACUUAAGUGGUCAAUCACAAUGCUCACGAAUUUCGACCUGGCUAAACUCAUCUGGACGUUAGAUCUAUUGUUUGAUCUCUCGCCGUUAUGUUUCUUGUAGACUGUAGCCCCACUCAACUUAUUAAAUCCAUCCAGCUCAACUUAUUAGCCUCCUGGGUCUAUUGUCACGAGAUUAAACUUAUUUUAGCCCAAUAAUAAAUAGCCAACAAGAUUAAAGCAUGGUAUGUUUCCAUUUAGAUCGCCACCCCACCACCUCUUCUAAACAUUCAAUUGUACAGAUUCAAAAUAGAAACACCAUAGUUUUUUGUUAUACCAUAGUUUUUCUUUGUACCAUAGAAACACCAUAGUUUUCUAUCAACUGAAAAUAUGUUUUAAAAAAAAUUGAUUUUACUUAAUCGUUGUUAAAUCUAAAAAAAAUUAUUUGGUUGAUGAAAAUAACUUAAUUAACAAAUUUUUUUUAAAAAAAUCAAAGUUGAUAGGUAUCAAUCCCAAAAAAAAAAAAAAAACCCACUAGUUGAGGGGUCCUAUUCCAACAUGGCGAGGGUCCCUAUUCAUCUCCAACUGCUUGAAAAAAGAUGAAGUCUUUGUACUAGUAGGUUCCAUCUUAAUUGUUUAUUGGUAAUUCUGAUUCAAUUACGUAACUGCUAUUACAACCAUUGCUCUGAUAUAGAGGGACCAACCUCUAAAUACAGUAUAUCCUUUUUAAGCCCAGAUUCAUAGUUUGCGCUUUGUGCUGGAUACAAGAGAAUUACUUUUAUUCCAGAGAAAACUCNNNNNNNNNNNNNNNNNNNNNNNNNNNNNNNNNNNNNNNNNNNNNNNNNNNNNNNNNNNNNNNNNNNNNNNNNNNNNNNNNNNNNNNNNNNNNNNNNNNNAUGUGUGGUUGGUAAACAAGGAUCGAUUUUUUAGCAAGGUACGAAAUGUAUCGUCAAAUAUUCAAUACGAUUCCACAAGAUCUAGUUUCGUUCAAGUAACGGAUUCUAGCCAAUUGAAAGGAUCUUCUGAUCAAUUCAGAGAUCAUUUCGAUUCCAUUAGUAAUGAGGAUUCGGAAUAUCACACAUUGAUCAAUCAAAGAGAGAUUCAACAACUAAAAGAAAGAUCGAUUCUUUGGGAUCCUUCCUUUCUUCAAACGGAACGAACAGAGAUAGAAUCAGACCAAUUCCCUAAAUGCCUUUCUGGAUAUUCCUCAAUGCCCCGGCUAUUCACGGAACGUGAGAAGCGGAUGAAUAAUCAUCUGCUUCCGGAAGAAAUCGAAGAAUUUCUUGGGAAUCCUACAAGACCCAUUCGUUCUUUUUUCUCUGACAGAUGGUCAGAACUUCAUCUGGGUUCGAAUCCUACUGAGAGGUCCACUAGGGAUCAGAAAUUGUUGAAGAAAGAACAAGAUGUUUCUUUUGUCCCUUCCCGGCGAUCGGAAAAUAAAGAAAUAGUUAAUAUAUUCAAGAUAAUUACGUAUUUACAAAAUACCGUCUCAAUUCAUCCUAUUUCAUCAGAUCUGGGAUGUGAUAUGGUUCCGAAGGAUGAAUCGGAUAUGGACAGUUCCAAUAAGAUUUCAUUCUUGAACAAAAAUCCAUUUUUUGAUUUAUUUCAUCUAUUCCAUGACCGGAACAGGGGGGGAUCCACGUUACACCACGAUUUUGAAUCAGAAGAGAGAUUUCAAGAAAUGGCAGAUCUAUUCACUCUAUCAAUAACCGAGCCGGAUCUGGUGUAUCAUAAGGGAUUUGCCUUUUCUAUUGAUUCCUACGGAUUGGAUCAAAAACAAUUCUUGAAUGAGGUAUUCAACUCCAGGGAUGAAUCGAAAAAGAAAUCUUUAUUGGUUCUACCUCCUAUUUUUUAUGAAGAAAAUGAAUCUUUUUAUCGAAGGAUCAGAAAAAAAUGGGUCCGGAUCUCCUGCGGGAAUGAUUUGGAAGAUCCAAAACCAAAAAGAGUGGUAUUUGCUAGCAACAACAUAAUGGAGGCAGUCAAUCAAUAUAGAUUGAUCCGAAAUCUGAUUCAAAUCCAAUAUAGCACCUAUGGGUACAUAAGAAAUGUAUUGAAUCGAUUCUUUUUAAUGAAUAGAUCCGAUCGCAACUUCGAAUAUGGAAUUCAAAGGGAUCAAAUAGGAAAUGAUACUCUGAAUCAUAGAACUAUAAUGAAAUAUACGAUCAACCAACAUUUAUCGAAUUUGAAAAAGAGUCAGAAGAAAUGGUUCGAUCCUCUUAUUUUUCUUUCUCGAACCGAGAGAUCCAUAAAUCGGGAUCCUAAUGCAUAUAGAUACAAAUGGUCCAAUGGGAGCAAGAAUUUCCAGGAGCAUUUGGAACAUUUCGUUUCUGAGCAGAAGAGCCGUUUUCAAGUAGUGUUCGAUCGAUUACGUAUUAAUCAAUAUUCGAUUGAUUGGUCUGAGGUUAUUGACAAAAAAGAUUUGUCUAAGUCACUUCGUUUCUUUUUGUCCAAGUUACUUCUUUUUUUGUCCAAGUUACUUCUCUUUUUGUCUAACUCACUUCCUUUUUUCUUUGUGAGUUUCGAGAAUAUCCCCAUUCAUAGGUCUGAGAUCCACAUCUAUGAAUUGAAAGGUCCGAACGAUCAACUCUGCAAUCAGUUGUUAGAAUCAAUAGGUCUUCAAAUCGUUCAUUUGAAAAAAUUGAAACCUUUCUUAUUGGAUGAUCAUAAUACUUCUCAAAAAUCGAAAUUCUUGAUCAAUGGAGGAACAAUAUCACCAUUUUUGUUCAAUAAGAUACCAAAGUGGAUGAUUGACUCAUUCCAUACUAGAAAGAAUCGCAGGAAAUCUUUUGAUAACACGGAUUCCUAUUUCUCAAUGAUAUCCCACGAUCAAGACAAUUGGCUGAAUCCCGUGAAACCAUUUCAUAGAAGUUCAUUGAUAUCUUCUUUUUAUAAAGCACAUAUACGAAGUUGUCCUUAGUGUUUGUCCUUAGUGUGUUCCCAUCUAACUAUGUUAUAUUUGGAGACCAUUUUACGGGGGGGCAUUGGGUCGUCUAUUUCAUGUAAUGUGUCAGGCAAAAUCCCUAACCGCUGAAUGGGUAAGUCACUGAAACCGUGACCUGCAAGGGUUUUGUUUUAACCAUGAUAGCCCAGCCCACUUAAGUUAUUAUCUGCGGACCACCGUAAGGUCGGAAGGAAGAGGAAAGUCCUGGAUAGGCUUUCUCUUAGGUCAUGAAGAACCAGCACUUAUAGACUUAUCCCGCUUGGCGGGGCACCUAUAGAAACGAAGCCUUGUUUUGUUAAUCUUAAUCCGAACCAGUUGACCUUACACAUAAUAGGUAUAUCCUCUAGAAGGUUAACUCUUCUAGGUAGCUGGACUCUGCUUCUCUUUCCAGAUAGAUAAAAUAAAUCAAUAAGUCAAUUUGGUUACUAAGCAAUAAUCUCGUCUAUCGUUGUUGGUAAAGUAGGCUGUACGCAUAAAAACUAAAAGGUUACCUAAAUGUAGAAAGUAAUUACCUUUAAAAAACUACAUCACUCAUUAUCGAGACCAACAAGCGACAAGUUCUUAAGAACAAAUCCGUCAAGUAUGGUAGGUAUGUAUCACAAAACUAGAUUCUAAAUUUAAGAAGAUACAAAGUCGUCAUCGUAUAACAAGGUACCUCGAUUCCAGGUUUUAUACCUUCUUUGUCCACAAAGGUGCUGAGAUGGUGGGUCAGUUAAGGCAAGGUGAAUUAGGGAUAAAGUACCGGUGUAUAGAAAGGCCGAUUCAUUACCCUUUGGAAAGAGGACAAUGUACUUAGGUUAAAAGUAAAGUAGGCCCUUUUCGGUAGAAAAAGAGUUGUUACAGAAACAGUAAACUAGGUUAUCGCAAGGCAAUCUAUCCUUGUCUAAACUAUUUAUGACUAUUGAGAGCCUACCUCAUAAUCUUGCCUUUUUAGGUAAUCUAUUACUUGAUAACCAAGAUUCGGUAGAGACCGCUACUUAGUUGUUAAGCUUCACGAAAAGAACGCAUAAGAACUAUUUGGUCGCAAAUAUAUAUCUACAUCCUCCUAGGCAAACCCUUCAUUCUUCGGGGAAACUGUAGAGAAGUAGACGUUUCUUAAGAGCUACACUUUUGUGUCUCUGUUUCCCGACUAGAAACUUAUCCUUUUUCUCACCUAGGCGUCCCAGGGUUUACUUAACCGAAUAAGCUUUUUUCGGAACAAGAAACCUUCUAGAUAGAGCACAGACCAUGACGUGCCAAGGUGAGACGUUCUUGAGGCUUAGUAAGCGAACUUCGAGUAGGAAAAGUAGUAUUUACUAGGCGAACGGGGCUUUACUGGACCGGGUUAUCCCUUUAGGGUUAAGUAACCCGGAAAGCUAUGUUAGUUUAUCUUUCGGGGUUCCCGCGGUAUAAGAUCCUCGGGUUUGAUACACUAACUUAUUUAGGAGGAGAUAGACAACGCCCAGCUCCUGAGGAAGAGGAAGGGGAAGAAGUUUGAGGCUAAGCAUAAAAAGUAUCUCUUUAGAGACUAGUUGCUAUCUUGUUCUAGGUAAAACGUAGUAUAUAUUCCCUAAGGAACCAAGCCUGGCUUCUUCGUUACAGUGAGCUAGUAAUAGUUUGACUGACGUUAGAAAAAGACAGGCACUCCUAGGGUGGUCUCGCGGAAGAUGAAGAUUAUCCGGUACUUGAUCUAGUCUUAGUAAGAGUUGCUUAGGUAUUCUUCACUAGGGUAAAAAAAGUAGCCCAGGCCCAUCUCUGGUUUCCAGAACUCGCUGGCUAGGCCGUCUUGUUGAGUUUUCUAUUUCUUCAUAGCAAUUAAAGAAGUACGAGCAAGGUUCAAGCUUCAUGGUAAACAUGUUUAUUCUUAGGGGAAGCAAUGUACUAAAGAAGAAGUAUAUCUAUCUAUAUCCUAGAUACCCCGUUAAUGAAUCUUCAUGUAAAACACGUUGUCGGGAAGGAUAGACUAUCUUUUCCUAGGGUACUAGGACUUGGCUAGAAUGGACCCUAGCGUUUAGGGUUCAAACAGAUACUUCUCGUCUAGAUUAACAUAAUCACAGAUAUUAACUAAAGAAGACACAUUAUGAUUAGCUAUCCCGGAGUAACCAUUCACGAUGUUCUAGAGCACGUAACCUUGGGUACCAAUACCUGAGCUUAGGUAAUCAUACCUUGUAAAAGAAAAGGUUCACUUUAGGGGAUCAUAUACUUUCUCACUUUUUCACGAAAGCAACAACACCUUAUUCUUCGGAAGCAUAGAAUUACGUACAUAAAUUAAAUAAGCCCCGAUAAUCUCGCCCUAGGUGAAAAAACCCUUAUACUCAGCUUCGUUAUUGUUCUUAUAAAGAUCACCUUGUAGAAAGUGUUAGGGACCUCUCUCUCAAGUGAUUAUCUGGCUCCCUAUUCAUUAAGCUGAGUAAGUGUAGGUCUAGUACUUACAAACCUUAGGUAUAAUACGUUCCUCUGUAACGAAAACGAUUAAGCUUAACUUCCCACUAUAUUUUAGCCAGAUAAAGGCUGUAGUAUAGGUAUCAAUCGCGUAAGUAGUAUCAAUCUUCGAGGUCGAGGCAUAGUUCAAGUGCUAGCUAUAGCAGUGAUAGUAGUUAUAGCAAUGAUCGUAGUUAUAGCAGUGAUCGUAGUUAUAGCAGUGAUCGUAGUUAUAGCUAUAGUAGUUAUUUUUUUGGAAAUCCGAACAAUAGGUCCUUGAACAAGUCUUUAUGACAUUACUUUCCUUGUAUCCUCAAACAGCGAUCCAUAAACUGGUUUAUCCUAGCAGGCCAAGGAUAUCUUGGAUAGUGAUUUUAUGGGGAUCUCCCCCUAUCCCGAUUCGCCUCGCUUUUCCCAAAAGGUACUCUGCCCUUUACUUUUGAUAAUCGGGGUGUGCUUCAAACACUUAUUCACUAACAGACUAUUACUCGUUCCUUAUAGGCAGAAAGAUGAUUUGUCCUACAUAACUUGAGUAUUAAGUAAUCUAUGAAAAAUACUUACAGUUGAUUCAUAGCAUUCAUUUAACAAGGGCCAACAAGUUAGUAAACUAUUGGUCUCAGUAAGAAACUAUUUACUAGUGAUACUCAGUCUGAGUUAUCUUAAACUAGUUAGGAAAAAAGACGGCAAUUCCACCUCUUGACUUGGUUCUUAAGAGAAAGAAAUAGUAGUUAGCUUAGUGACAAGCGCUGGGUCCUAAGAUAAAAUAGUAGUUAGGUUAGUGGCGAGUGCAAAAAAGAAAAAGAAUAGUUACUUAUCUAGAGAAAUGAACAUACUGAAUCUACAGAGCAUAAAGAGCUUUUUCACUAAGCUAACUACCCUAAACCAUACUAUGAAUACUCUAGCUACUAUAGCUACUUUAACUAUAAGUUUAUAAAGAAGAAUCUUGCAUAACUAAACUGGGGUAUUCGCCCUAGUGAUGGGGUAUCGUACAACGGCGGUCUUGGGGCAUAAAGAAGAUCUCUUAGAGGAUUAACAAGGUCUCGUUGAUCUUUCUCUAAGAAAUUGGUCUUUCUUAAGUCAAGUCUACAUCCUAUGGAUAGGUCUUCAAAAGCGUUGAGUUAGUACAUACUACCUUAGUAGUUUCUAAACUGGAAAAGCUUGAGACAGACAUUGAGUGAUAUCCGAGCCCUUUGUUUCUCUUCUACACAUGCUUGCUCUAUAGGUCGUUGUUCUUCUUCCUUUUCCUAACUUAUCUCCUUGAGGGCUUGUAAACCGCUAGAGUCUACACAGCUAUAGUUACCACUGAGUAAUAAAGCUACUUAGUAAAGAAGCCUGUCCUCUUCUAAUACAUUUGUGAAUGAGCUUUAGAGUGAAUAGUCUAAGGUAACACCUUCUGUGGUAAAAAAGACUUCUUAAGCGGUACUAUAUAGACUAGGUACGUAUUAUAGUACUUUUUACCUAUGUUUAAAAACUGACGAUGAAUCAUAGCCGUUAUCCAGACUUUUUCAUAGAUUUUUAUAGUUUAAAUCUAUAAACAUGGGACAGCUUCAUUCCUUGGUACCGUAUAUACAAACCUGAUCUAAGGUAAAACUCUCUCAACUUUUUCGUGAUAGAGCAACUUUCCAAGAUAGGUAGACGGGAAAGAGUUGUGUAAAGAAAUCUGUUUCUGAGGCAAAAAAGGAGAAAAGCCUACCAUUUAUAAAGAGUCUUGUACCUCACACUUAGUUUGGGUACAAACUUAACUUUAACUCUAUGACUACGUUCAAGAAGAGAAGACUUAGUCUAUCUAAGUAUAGACUUUCUCCAACUGUUAUUCAAGAAAGUUUUAACUGAUAAACAGGGAGACAAUCUCCACAAGGUCUUUACAGACGUUAGCUCAUUUAUCGAGAUGCUUGAUUACCUAGCCUAGCUUAACGUUUUACCUUUCUAAACAUGUUCAAUAUGGAAAGCAGUGGUGAAACACCUUUUAGCAAUCUAUACUUAUACAAUCUAUGGACACUGAGCUAACCACUUCCACUUUAUCAUAGAGAGAGGUUUUUUCGUACAAAAAAAAAUGGUGGCGUGUUUCUUUUAUAAAACAACGCUUACUUGUUCUAUAACUCCUUAACAGGUAUGCAUUUUAGUAUUAAUAACUAUGCCCGGAAAAGGUGUAUUUUUCCCUUAGAAAACAAUGUUAUCUUCGUCUUCACUACACCUAAUAAGUUCUUAGCUUCAGCUAANCCUAAUCCCCACACCCCCGCCCCCCCCUCUCUCUCUCUCUCUCUACUCACCUCUUCUGAACAGGGAUAUUAGAAGGGAAAAAUUCAUAGAGUCCCCUAUAGGAGACUGAAAUUUCAUCAAUAGCCCUCCAAAAUUCUAAAUAUCAUGAAUGCCCUUCUAAAUCUAACGGAAUAAGGUGUAAAUACCAUUUCUACCCUUGCACUGCACUGCUCCUUAACUAUAUGAUAGUUUUAUAGAUGCCCUUCUAGAAUCUGUUAAUUUCAUCAAUACCUUUCUAAAAUUGAUAAUUUCACGAAUACUCUCCAACAUAUUAAAAAUUAUCACAAAUGCCCUCCACUAGUUAAUAUCCGUUAAAAUCAUCUGAAAUAGAGUUAAAUUUUUAAAAUAUCAUUUUUACCCUUUAUCUCUUAUCAAUAAUAGAAACAAUAAAAGGUAUUUCAAGAUAAUUUUUGUAAAUCUAAAUUUGACUAUUUAAUAUAUAAAUAUUAAAUUAAUUUUUAAAUGAUAUAUAAAAAUUGUAUUUUAUAUAUAGUAUGUUUUUAUAUAAUUUUGGUUUUGUUUUUGGCUUCGGGUUUUGCUUCAGAUUCGAUUUGGAUAUAGACCAAAAUCAUAACUAAAUUUAAAUACGAUGAGAGUUCAUUUUUUUGUACUUAUAAUUGAAACUAUCCCACUCAGCAUCAAUUAAGCUGGUGCCCAUUCAAAAUUAAGUUCAGAUAAAAUUGUAUACCUGUAUCAUUUCACAUUCUUAAUCAGUAAUAGUAAUUUGAAAUAAAUUAUAGAUUUUUAUGUUUUUCCUAUUUAAUCAAAAAUAAAUCACAUAACUAUAUCAAUAUGCAUGCUUUUUUUAUCGAUUUUAAAAAAAAAGAGAGUUUUGUUCAAAAGCUUAAAUAUAUUAUAUUUCAGUUUUUAAUGCAUUUAAUGUAGAUAAAAUUAUUGAGAAUAAUUUAAGCUUCCAAGAUUAAAGAAAGAUCGAAAAAUCCUCAACAUUUAUUUUUAUUUAAUUUUUUAUACAUAGUUAAAAUAAAUGGAGCCACUAGAUUUGGUGAAAUCAUAAAAACCUUGAUAAAAUUUUUAUUUUUCAUACACUAAAAUUAGUUAAUUUUGUAAAAAACUAAAAGUUAAUGGGAUGUUAACUAAAAAAAUAAAAGUUGAGGGAGCCGUUUCAAAACGGCAAAUAGUUGAGGGGUCUCCAUACAUUUUUAUUGGAAAAGUCUAGAUGGACUCCCGGUUGAAGGUGUACAUCCUACACCUUUGGGAUCCGACGGCUGAUAUUUAGGCACUACACAUUUAUUUUAUUUUUUUUCAAAAGCAUAAUUUUUUCAGCCUUUAGAUAAGUGGGUUGUAGGAUGUACAACCCUAAGUGGGUUGUACCAGUAGCACCACUCAUUUUUAUUAAAGAGAUAGUUGAGGGUAAAUAGGUCAUUUUAAAAGUUAACCCAUCUUUAACCAUUUAACAACUAUGGUAAAGGUAAUAUAACUAACGGUAGGGAUAUUGGUGAUACUUUUUUAUAUUUAUAGGGGCAUAUAUGAUAUUUUAAACUUUAUAGGGGUAUCCAUGAUAUUUUAAACUUUGGGAGAGGUAUCUAUGAAAUUGCCCCUAUCUAUUUGUAUUUGAUUUUAGAGUAGAGCUACUAUGCUAUCAGAAGCACAUAGGAUCUAUUGCUUUUGACUUUUUGGUCCUUAGAUUAGUCCCUUUAAUCAUUUCUAAUCUUUGGAUUAAUACUAUUAUCCUGUGGGGACCGCUCAACCCUAGGGAUACUACUCAACUCUAGGGGAGACCGCAAUCAUCCCAACCGUAUAAUUUUUGAUCCAAGGGUCAAAAAGUCGGCAACAUCAAAUCCUCUGCACUUCCGAUAGCACAGUAGCUCUACACUUGAUGAGUAGAGCUACUAUGCUAUCGAAAAUAUAGAGGAUCUAGUGCUUCCGACUUUUUGACCUUUAGAUCAGCCCCUUUAAUCAUUUCUAACUUUUGAUUAACACUUUUACCCUGCGGGGACCACUCAAUCCUAGGAGUGCUGCUCAACCCUAGGGGACACUGCAAUCAUCCCAACCGGAUAAUUUUUUAUCAAAGGGUCAAAAAGUCGGCAGCAUUAAAUCUUCUGUACUUCCGAUAGCAUAGUAGCUCUACACUUGAUUUUAAAUAAUUUCUUCAAAUACCUUAAUUUUUUUUCUUGGAGUUUAGUAAUGAGAUUGGAUUUUAGAAGAAUAUUUGGGUUAUUACAGAGUAAAAGAGGUAAUUAAGCAAAAGCUCCGAUAAUAUAUUAAUGUAAAAAUUUACCGAAAUUUUCUGAACUAUCGACCAUUUUGAAACAGGCGCCCUAACCUUUCAAAAUUUUAAUUUUUUAAUUUCUUUGAUUUGAGUCGGUCAACGGCAACAUGACUUUAGUUAAUAUAUUUUAUGCGAUUCUCGUAACUAUAAAUUAAUUAUAUUAAAUAAUUGACUUUAAAUUUGAAAUGAAAGUAUCACUGAUUAAUUAAAAUCAAACAAAUUGAAAGAUUGGAUAUGAGAAUUUUUAAAUUUUUGAAAGGUUGGGUAGCCGUUUCCAAAUGAUUCAUAGUUUGGAUAUGUUCUACACAUUUUUACCUAAUAUUAAUUAAAAGCACCAUUCUCUGUUCUCUUGUAGCUUAAACUUUUAGAGAGAAAUGUUUAUGUCACAUUACUUUAACAUGGUAUUCGAGCAGAAAAUCUUUAGUUUGAGAAAAAUAGUUAUUUUGCAUUAAAAAUACUGUUCUUCUAGAGCUUGAAUUUUUGGAGAAAAAUAAUUGCUUAACAUUAAUUUAAUAUGGUAUCAGAGCAGAAUGCCUUAAGUUCGAAUAAUUCCAUCGGGGCCUGCAAUCUCAUUUAAAUCAAUAAUUUUGUGAAAUUUUGCUGCUCUAUGUACUUCUUUACUUGAAAAAAAGUAUGGAUUUUUGUUAAUUGUUUGAUAGCAAAAACUAAUGAAACCACUGGUUCGAACGAAAUAUCUAAUUCAUCUGACUAAAAUAGCUCAAUAAUGGAAGUUGAGGGAGUGACAAUAAAUAGAGUAAAGAGAUAAGCUUCGGGGCGCAAUGUCAAAAUAGCCUAUAGUUGAGGGGGUCUUCAUGCAAUUUUUUUGAUUUGAAGUAUUUUCCUAAAUAGAUUUGGCACUCAUUAAAAUUAAGAGUUUCGUAGGCUAUGAGCUGUUAACUAUAGUUCCAUCAGGUCAAUAGUGUUCAACAUAGUUAGUUCGACAGAAUCACUGUCAAAUUUAAUAUGAAUAUGCUCAAUUUAAUUGAUUGAAAUGAUUUAAAUCGAAAAACAUCAAAAUUGAUGAAGCGCCAAUAAUAAAAACCUGUACAUUUUUACCCUUUUGUUGAUCAAUGGAUACAUACGCAUUAAGCGAAAUCCCACAUUUUUCUCCUUUAUUUCUGUAUGUUUAGGGAUGACCGGCGAAAUGCACAUUAAGGGUGUCCCAGUAACCAAGUACAAGAGGUGGUUCUUUUCUGUUCAUUGAUCAAUCUUUUUAUCUUAUACUCUCCUUUUCUGGAGCUGUUCUCUGAAAAUAUGACAGUUGUUUGCAGGUCGGCAGUCAGCUCAACAGAUGAAUGGCCUUCUAAAUACUCCAAAGUGUUUGUUCAAGUAUGCUUUCUGUUUUAUGUUCUUUGGCAUAUCUCAAGUGCAAUAAGGCGUAGUGUGGGAGUGUAAUCAAUCAUCAAUACGUGCUCCGUACGCGAGCCCUUUGAUGCUUUCAUAGGUGAAUUCUUCCUAGUGUCGACACUAACUAUUUCACCAUCACUUUUACACAACUCAUUGUACAAGUCAAAUUCCUCUACUUAUGUCGGUGAUUGGACUGGCAAAGGAAAACUGAUUUUAGCCAAGCCAUUCAUCAAUAUGUUGACUUUGCUAUGAUGAUUUGCAUCGUCGUAAAUAGACCUAGACAAAGUUCAACUCGAUGAGUAACUCAGAGGAGAAAUUGAUUUUUGGUGAAUUCGGGAAGGUGGAAUGUCAGAGGAAUUCAAAUUAUGUAACCCAUAACGAAAAAUUCCUUCAUAACUACGGAUGCAUUUAAAACCUUGAUUUGCCUCAUAAUCCUAUUUCUCAUGGAGACUUUCUUAUAAGUACAAAAACUUGUAGAUUUGGCCCUUACAUAUUACUAGUGAUAGUUCUCAUGUUUUGGGUGUAAAAACUUGUAAUAAACCAUGCAACCAUAUUAUUAUCGAAUAUUUAUAUUAAACAAUACUUUCUUAUGAAGGUGGGUUAUACUAGUGUUUUUUUUUUUUUUUUUUUUUUUUUUUUUUUUUUUUUUUUUUUUUUUUUUUUUUUUUUUUUUUGCGUUUGUCAUCUGUGUACACGAGAGUUCUUGCAUGUUUUCAAAAUUAUAAAUCUUCUAUGUUUGGGUCUGUCAGUGCUAGAAUAUGUAGUUGGAUUGCUUGCUAGGAAGCUGUUUAAUUGAAUGAACCAAUGUGCUUACCUCACUCACUACUUCUGAGUUUGGCUGCAUUUGAUGUUUUUGACUUCUCAUUUAACUUGUUCCCUUUUACCAUCUUUUGCAGCUUGAUGAUGGUUUAGAAUUUUCCUUUACUGAUAAGAGACGUUUUGCAAAAGUCCGUUUCCUUGAAGAUGUAUCUACCUCGUGCGCUACAUUCAACUUCCAUCUAAAGCUUUCCUAUUAUUCCAACUAAUUUUCUCAUUGUCUUACUAAUAUAUAUAUAUAUAUAUAUAUAUAUAUAUUUACAGCCAGAGUCUGUCCCUCCGAUUUCUGAGCUUGGUCCAGAUGCCCUGUUUGAGCCUAUGCAAGUCAAUGAAUUUGUAGACUCUCUAAGCAAAAAGAAGAUCGCUAUAAAGGCUCUGCUACUUGAUCAGGUUAGGUACAUAUUGUUAAAGAACUCUUCAAGUAGAUGCUAAGCGUUUUGUGUAGUGAUUGUUUUGGUACAAGUACAUGUUUAAUAAUUUGAUUUCUGUAGAUAUACAAUAAAGGAGGCAGAACUAAAAGAGUUAAAAGAAUGCGUUCUAUGCAAUGAAAAGCAUCGAGAAACUGUUAAUCGCAAAUAGUGAAUUUGAUUCAGUGUUUUAUCGAAUGAUUCUUUUAAUUUAGGUUCAUACAGAUUAUGAAGCAAAAUAAAUGGCACUUGUUAUGAAGAUCCACGAUGAUUGAAGAUUCAGUCUCAUCAGUUGUCGAUACAAUUGUUUGACUAUAUAAUUGCAAAAUUUCACUCUGGUUAGAGGAAACUAAUUUGGUGAACUUCAUUUUCUGGUUGAGGAAUUUGACCAGACCAAUGGGAGGCAAGUUAUCACUAUUUAUCGUCGAAUAUUCCCAGUGAUGUUACUUUCUAAAUUGCUCGUAUCUAGCAAAAUAUAUCAGUUUGAAGAUGUUCCUUACUCACCCAGGCCGGUAAAAGCACGACAGCAUGUUGUUUUAUCUACCCGAAUAUAACUUUCAAGUUUUUUUUUUUGUUUUAAUUUACUUUGCUAUGCAGAGUUACAUAUCAGGCAUUGGUAACUGGCUCGCGGAUGAGGUGCUUUAUCAGGUUAGCUUCUCUUGCAUGCUUCUUAAUGUAACAUUCUUUUAGUAGUUUAGCAUUUUCUGAACUGAAGUACUCUUUCCUCCUCAUUUGGCAUGUGCAGAUAGUUUUGAAAAUCUUCUUGUUCCUGAUGAUGAUAUGCCAUAUAAAAUUUGUUUUGUUGUCUUUCAAUAUCUCAUUACUUCCAUAGAGUUCUACUUACUUUAUUCCCUUUCAGAAAGAUCAGUAGAAUGGGCACACCACAAUGAAGGGAUUUUUGCAUUAUAUGCUCGAAUAUAAAUAUUUGUGUGUAUGCCCCUCAAAAGAAUACAUUUGCAUUAAGAAUUUAAGUAUCCAUCAACACAGGUAGUGCUAGGGAUGUCAACGGGUCGGAUUCGGGGCGGAUUUUCCAAAACCCGAACCCGAACCCGAACCCGACUCCAAACCCGAAACCCGAACCCGACGGAUUUUAAAAAUCCAUAUCCAAACCCGAACCCGACAAAAAAUUCGAAACCCAAACCCGAACCCGAAAAUCCUAGCCUGAAACAAUUAUUUCUCUUUUCAAUAUUUCAAAAUAUAUUACAUUAAAUUUAAAUUUUUAAAAUACAAAUUCAAAUAUAAUAUCAAAAUUUUAUAUACAUAUUAUAUAUAAUAUAAAAUAAAUUUGGGUUUGCAUCGGAUUCGGGUUCAGGUUGGGUUCGGCCAAAAUCUAUAUUCGAAUCCAUAUCCGUCGGGUUUUUAUUUUUGAUGUCCAUAUCUGAAACCAUAUCCGUUUAGCAUCAGGUAAAUCCGCUCUGUUCGGGUGCAACUUCGGAUAAAAUUUCGGAUAUCUGUACCCAUUGACAUCCCUAGGUAGUAGGUAGUGCCCACUGUGCCAUACCGUGUCGACAAAAUAUUGACACGAUACGACGGUGCCAUCAGAUAAAAAUAAUAAACAAUUAUAAUAUAUUAGUAUCAAAGAAAAUAAAUAUUUUCGUAUCAUAAUGUGUCAGCACACAGGAACACAAAUCCUUGAUUUGCAUGAUGACCUCACAAGAAAAAGAAAUUCUUUACCUAUGUGCCCCUCUAUAAUUAUUGUCUGAACAGUUGUUUACUUUCUUAGAAGUAAACCCUGAAGUAUAGACUUCAAGUGACAAAAUAACCCUCAUUUGCAUAAAUACCCCUACAAAGACCCUGGUUCUAAAACAAGUAUGAGAUCGAGCCUUUUAUCAUCACUUUUAUCUAGGCGAGAAUUCAUCCCCUGCAACUUGCUGCAAGCCUGUCAAAGGAGAGCUGUGAAGCGCUGCAUCGAUCCAUCAAAGAGGUAUUGGUCUCAUUCAUUACUCGACAGUCUCUUAGUAUUUGGGAAACCACCAUAUAAGUGGAUUUAACAGUCUAUGAUUUUCGAGGCAAGAUGAUGUAAGAGAUAUUUGUAGGUCAUUGAAUAUGCUGUUGAAGUUGAUGCUGACUCCAGCCGUUUUCCAGCUGAAUGGUUGUUUCACUUCCGCUGGGGAAAGAAGCCUGGAAAAGUGAAUGGUAAGGUUCUCUUUCAUACACCAUUGUAUACAUGUUGAAGCAAUAGAUCUGAUGCACGGCAUCGCACAUAGUAGAUUCAUUGUGGCCAUUUCUGUUCAAUGUGUUCAAACCUGUUGAAGUUUCCUCCUGCAUCUGUUUAAGAUACGUAUAGGUCAGGUUCAACUGCUUCAAUUACUAACCGUAGUGUGCUAUGAUGCAUUCAAGAUAACUUAUGCCAUCGGUUCUUGGAGCCUCAAAUAUAGAUAUAUAUCGCUGAAAAAUAUAUUUAAAUUUAAGAAUUCUUAUGUAGUUAUUUUAUCUUCUUUCAUUUUUGGAGUUUUAAAAGGAGUUGCAAACAUAAUUAAAUGGUAGUAAAUUUUUAGAAUAAUUUGAAUAAUUAAUAGUAUCAACUUAGAAUAACUUAACGUAAGUUACCCGGACCUAACGAAAAGGUAUCCCAGCUGUGUUCAGAAAAUACCAAAUCGGUGACGGAUGGGUAAUUUGAUAUGUAAAAUUGCCACUUUAACCAUAAAGAAUUCAUACAGUUUAGGUGCUUUAUCUGUCGUUCGUAUCUCGUUGCCUUGGUUAAUGGGUUCCAAUAUUUCUGGAACUAUAUUGAAUCCUUCAAUCUCAUAUAGAUUGUUCAUAGUUCCUGUAAUUUUCUCGCCAACAUGUAUCAACUGAUGAAUAGUUCAGGAAACAUCCACCCAACCCUUUAAUUGAUGAGAUAUUCACGAGUUUCAUUAUGAGACUGUUUAAUUAUAAUUCUCAUUGCUUGCAGGGAAGAAAAUCGAAUUUAUUACAGCAGGUGGCAGGGUAAGUCAUGCCACAUAGGGACUUUUUUUACAAAAUAACUCUUUAAAAUUUUAUAANAUGCAUGCUCGAUCGAAUAGUGGACGGGGACGAGAACCGGGAAACUACUGGUGAAGUUAGACGACCAGCCGCUUUUCCGAUAUUUACUCACGCCCCGGAUAUAUAUAUGUAGUAACGACCGACCAGCUGCAUCAAAAUCGAGGUGUAUGUGGGAAUCGGCAUUCAAAGCCCUUCCCUUUGCGGGCCAGUCCUGGAGCUGGGCCUUACGUGAUAGGGGAUGAAACCAAAAAAACCUGUACCCUAUUCCCGAGAGAUUGACGUCGGGUAGAGGAGUCGAUACGAUACAUCUAUGCGGAGUUGAACCGACCUUACCGGGCGUGGUUUUUCUGAGAUCUCCCUUCCAAGCACUCGACCCUUGCUAUGUCGGUAAAUGGAUUGGGGGGCUAAUGCACCCUUAGAGGUUUGGGAACGACCCAGACCUAUUGAUUGCCCCUCAUGCCUCGGGAGCAUGCACAGGAAUCCCGGACAUUGAAGGGGAGGGGGAUGUCCGUAAUGAACUACUUAUACUGAUUCCCUAAUCACUUACUUUUUAAGAAUAAGUAAGGAUAAGACAAAUAAAAGAAAGACUUGAAAUACCAAAAAGAAAAAAUUCAUACAACCAUUAAAAAAAGGUAACAAAUAGCACUUGUACGUCCCAGCAGCAUGGCAAUGCGGAGGUGCCCUAGAGAGAGAGGGUUCUAAGACACCCGGGGAAAUGGUCGAUUUCCCACCUUCCUUUUUUCUCGGGCAUAUCGAGAAGUUGGUCUAGUACAAGAAUGAGAAAGCCACAAGAGCAGGGAACAGUCAGACACUGCGCGUAAGAAAAUUUUUCUUUUUCAUAAAAAAUAGAAUAAUGAGACAAUAUAGAAUGUGGUUCUGGUUGAGGAAAGGGUCAACGCAAGGAUCUUACUUCGAAGCAAUCUCUGGAGUUUGCCCUUAUCCGAACGGGUCUUGCAAUAAAGACGGAUUUCAUAUUGAGCUCCAAAUAUACGCUAUUGGGAUGGAAUGGCUCAAUCGACGUUCUCCCCCCCUAAGAACCGCACGUGCGAGUUCCCCCGCAUACGGCUCAAGUGGCGAAGGCCCUUUCCUUCGCGCUUGGUAAGCGCUUCGCUGUAGCCAAGCUUACUGCUAGCCUAUCGGCUAGAGCCAAGCUUCGACCGCGACUGCUCGUCGCUUCUGGCCGCCUUAUUCCGUCACCCGAGAUCCAAGUCAGCACCGGCAAAGAUCUCUUUCUUCCUCGCGGCCGGGCCGGCUUGGAAGCAAGCUACCUGUCGCCUAUCUCACCCGGCACUUUGAAGGGUGAGCCUUCGCUUUUUGGAUCGUCUUCUGCCCAAUGCGGUACCCUCCCGUUUUUUGGUUCCCAUCCCAUUGGGUUUACCUUGUUCACAGGUUGACCCCAUGGCAGCAAGAAAAGGCGAUCUUGUGCUAUACUCCGGUGAUCUCUUGCCUACCGAGGCACGCUAACUCCCAUCGUGUCCCAGAUCACAUUCCGUGAAUCGAAAGGGGAAGCCCACUCAUCCAUCAGCUCCUCUCGUAGAUGCGGUGCGGUUUGACGAAGCGUCUAAGCACAGUUCACUCGCGUUGAUCAAUUAAGAGUUUUGCCGCCACUCCUUAAGGUUACAUGUUGUAUAAUACACUGAUUGCAUAGUUUCCCACGCUUCAUACCUCCUCUCCUCUUCUUAAGGUAAAGGGCUAGGCAUGGUGGGGUAGGAGCAUCCAGUCGGCAAGAUUUUAGGCCUGACCAAAAAGUCUUAUGUCCUCCGAGUCGCACGGCGUUUUAACCGAAAGAACUUCUUGCGCAAUUCAUGCCUUUCCGUUUUUAUGACCAGAAAUUGUUUCUUGAUUUCCAUUUCAAAUUGUUCUCUGGACUUUUUAUCAAUAUGAGGUGAUCGUAACACAGUAUAUAAGACUCGUGAUUCAGGCAAUCCAAUCUUCCGUGUGUAAGGCGUAAGCCCCCAAAAAUGAUAGUUUGAUAAAAAUGGGUUAUCAAAAGAUCGAAUCACUAUGCCUAUCUUGGUGGUCGUGACUUUUGGUGGUCUUGAUUUUCUCCUCUUCCUGUUCUAUUGAUCAGAGGGCAGUGCCACGCCGGUGACGAAUUCGGGUUAAGUUAAGGCUCCCCUCCCUUUUUCGUAACAACAAAAAUCAGAAGUAGGACCAAACCUCGAAGAAGAAGCCUGAGCACAGGACGAAGUGUUUUUCGUUGUAUGACGAAGAAGAAGAAAGGAUGGGACAAGGGUACCGCAAGCAAGCAUGCAAUGCUCCUCUGCUAACCUGAUGAAAGAGCCAUCGGUGACAACAAAAAUGAGAGAAAGUGACCCAAGAAUGAAAAAGAAUUUGAUCUUAUUAAGCCGAAGAUCAACUGGGCAGAUCUCUAUGUUAUGUUCCAAGACCGCCUCCGCCGCCCUUGGACCAAUCAUUCACCAAGGCCGCAUCCCUGCGGAUGCCAGGUUCUUUUGAGCGAGGAGAUGGAAAUCGAUCUGGAGGACAAGUGGUGGUUACAGCUUGAAGAGAGGACCACUCACUCAGUCCUUCUGAAAAAGGAGAAGAAGCCAAUUCACUUCCCGGGAAGAGUUGCACGAAGAGGGUUCGCCCUCUGCCAUUAAAGAAGGGGAGAUAGAAGAGAUUAUAUCAUCAAUACAGUCCUCUCUUCCCUCAAACUGUCGGGGUGGAUAUAAUAUUCCCCACGCCUGACUAUUUUGGGGUGCAUUUCAAACCCCUGUAGGAAAACAACAACUUUGUUCAGUUCAGUAAAGUUGACCGUCUUCCAUGCGUAGCUGUGCCCGGCCGAUGCCUUCCAUUAUUGCUGCAUUUAAGCGCUGGGGAAUCAGUCUCGUCAUUCCAGCGUUUUUGGAUGUGAAUCAUCCCCGCCAUGAGCGAGAUUUUUGUGCCUUUAUUCGUCUUUGUCUAGUUAACCCUCCUAUUGAUUUUUUCAUUCGAGUAAACCGGCCGAGUAACGAAUUUCUUAUAUACGUAUUUAUCAUCAUCUUUCCAGAAAAGAUAGCCAAACAAUAAAGACUGAUGAGCGCCUGCCCGAGUGCUCAAAAUCUUUUGGGCUGCUUGCUUGGUUGAGUGAUCGCCAGUGGCAGCCCUCUUCCUAAAGAGUCCUAUCCUUAGGGCAGGUCUACUGCUCGAAAAAACGACCAUCCUCUCCUUCGUCCUCUUUACACUUAGUUGUUUGGGACUAGCUGCCUAACGUUGCCUGUCCGGAGGAAUAAGAACCGCUGCUGCUGGGCCUCAUGCUAUUCCCAACCGUCGUGGAGUUCCAAAAAAGGCAUACGCCCUUGAUACUGAAGAUAGAUAGGAGCUCCCCUCCCCUCGAAAGGCAAAGGUCCUAGCGUUAGCGCAUAUUUGACACAUACAUAUUUGACACAUAUGUUAAUUCCCUAAAUAUGAGCCAGAUCAAGAGCCCUCAGUAUCAGAGAGAGAUGGGGAGAAAGUCUUUGUCAUUGGUUCAAAGGCUGUGCCUUCUGAACAUUUCUUUUUCGUUGCCUAAGCACUUACACACCUCGGAGGCUUUCCUGUUCCAGGUUUAGAUCCAUCCUAUAGUCGCGGAACUCAUUGAAGAUCCAAAUCAAGUGAAUAUACAAUCUAUAGCCACCACGGGAUACACAUCUACGGGCAGGCCCUAUCUAUAUACCAAAAAUGAUCGAAUCUUCGGGCUGUUCCGAUUCCACCAGCAACGGUUCUAUAUCCAGUGGUGGUUAGAGCUUCUCUCCAAUAGUGGUGUCCCGUUAUAGGCGCGAGAUAAGGGUACGUACUAGGAGCCUGCUUUGACCUUUCGAUCCAUUAGAAGAACGAGCCAAAGCUUUUAUAAAUGGAGAGGUUCUGGUACCUCUUUCAUAUAUAGCUAAAGCAAUGGGAGCAGCACUGACUCAAAUAACUGGAGCGAAGGUUGCAGCGGUAGGGACAGAGAUAGCGGCAGUGGCAUAGAGAGUCACGGAAGUUGAAAGUACAUAAGUUGUUGCAGCAGUCUCAGAUCCAGUUGCUAAGAUAGCAGCAUCUUUCUCACUCCCGCCCAGGGAGGAAGUAUCAUACUGAGAAUGCCCACGAAAAAAUGGCUUUCUUAUUCCCACCGGGGGCUGGCUUAGACGAGAUGAUCUCCUCUAUCUUCUUAUCUUCGGCUGCGAUGUCUGCAUUAACUUUCUCGAGCCUCUCUGGCGAAUCAUCGGCUAAGGUCUCCUCCCCCUCUCGAAGCACGCAGUCUCCGCGUCUCAGCAUAACGAGCGGCUGGCAUUAUCUGAAUUAUGCCCAUCUGACGGGUCACGCGGUCCCCCGGAUGCCGCUCCACCACAUUCAAACAGAUCAUGGGCGCCUAAGUCCCAAAUAGAGGCCGGGACUCCAUAUAGAUGGGAUCUGACGCCUGAAUGAGACGUAAAGCGUCAUCAGGCAUCGGAGAUUGAAGAUCAAUCAGAUCCGCUUUUGCCAUUUCGUAGACGAGUUUUGCCAAAGCCAUGUUCAUGAUUUCCAUUUCAGUUUAGUUUUAGGGAGGUGUUGAGAAUAUUCAAACUCAACCCUUAUUCUUUUUUUAUGUUUAGCUUUAGAGAAUAGGGGGGCUCGUCAUUUGUGUAUAUAUAGGGUCUCCGACACCUCAAAAUGUAAAUCAUUCGGGAUUUCAGAGCCAUCUCAACUUUGACAUGGUAUCAGAGCGGGUUUUUCUAUCCGACAUUUUUUUUUUGGACCUGACGUAUGCGGAAGUGCCUCGCCGGAUCUUCAAAAAAAAAGGGAACCGUGUCGACGUUCUCUUUCCCGACUUUCCAUUUAUGAGGUUUCCUUUGAUUUGAGGGUAUCGUGCAUCUCAUUCCUGUGUGGGAUUCUUUUGAUCGCGGGUCUCGCCCUCAAGCUGGCAUCGGUAGAGAUCGUGGCCUUUCCUUGAUUGCUAUAAUCUUCGAGUUGUUUGAUUCUUCUUUUUAUUUUUCCUUCUGAAUUUCCAUUUUUUUUUUCUAGUAUUUACUAGCCAAUUUUAUCUUUUCUUUUUUUUUUNNNNNAAAAAAAAAUCUGAAAAACGAAAAUAUUAAUUUGUCAUAAAUUUUGAAAAAUAAAUUUUCAAAAGAACUAAUUUUCUUUGAAAAUAAAGAGACAAAAAACUGAAAAAGAGACAUUUAUAAAAUACGUUUUUCUAAUUAAGAAACUGUUUUCUAUGCUUUUCUGACCAACCAAACACACAUUAGUGUAUUUACAGUUUUACAACCUUUAAUACUAUAAUGAAUAAGAUAAACAAUAAAAGCAAGAUCUUCAACCACUCUAAUCAUACUAGAACUAAUUCUUUCCCUAAUACAAUUUAGGGGAUAAAAAUGUAAUCAAAAUAGACUCUAAUUUGAAUGAAUCUUGUCUCUACCUAAAUUUCCAAAUAAUUCAAGUCAAUUUGAAUAUUCCUCCAAUGACUUCAAAUGUCUAAAAAAAUAUAUAUUUACCUUGUUUCUCUUUCGCACCUUAUCACAUUAUUUUUGUAUGACCAAGAGUCCAACAGAAGAGUUAAAAAUAUCUUUUUAGGAAAGAGUCAAUGAUAGAAAUUUGUAUGACCAACAAAUAAUGUUCCUAAUUUUUCUUUCUCCUGUUAAAAUCAUGAUAGGGAUUCAUAUGACCAGGAAAAAAAAAUCUUAGGGUAAAUUACACUUUUGGUCCUCAAAUUAUAAUGUUGGUGACAUUUUGAUUUUCAAAGUUUAAUUUAUGAUAACUUCUGGUUAAAACUUUAUAAAUCAUUACAAUCAAACUACAGAAUCUAAUUUACUUGUCUAAGUAUUAACGUAUUGCCGUUGUGGACGUAACGUGACAUCUUGCUUAUUGUCCUGUCAUCAUUCAUAACAAUAUCACAUCAUUUGCAUAUUUGCGACACAUUAAUAUUUAUUCAACUAAAUUGGGAUGUGGAGUUUGAUUGCAACAACUUAGAUAAUUCGAGUGACACAUUGUAACAAAUUAAAGUUUAAGGAUCAAAUCGUAUCCCUGCCCGAUGGGUCUACAUUCAUCCCUGAAUGUCGUCGGGUACUCUUCACUUCCCCGCCAUUCUUGUAACCGUCACCUGUCAUCCGCGCAGGUGUGUCCGCACCCCCUGGAGUGGACGAGAAAGAAAGGAUUUCUCGGAGCAACCCCCCUGGUUCCAGACCCAGGAGUUCACUUUCCCGUAUGAGCAUUCGGUACAUGUAUAAGUCCGUGGAAGAGUAAAAGGGUCAUCACUACUGAGGAUCUCCCCCCUAAUCUUAGAUGGGUCGUCUGAGGGUUCGCCGCGGUUCAUUGCUGUGCUUACACACUAGGCUACCCUUCUCCGAAAGCUCCGCGGGACCACCUAUCACUAGUCUUCGGCCGGAGGGGUUUAUUGCACAAAAAGGCCGGGACGCCGGCUCCCGCAGAGGGAAGCCCAACGAAUGUCAGAUGCAAAGCCCCGCACCUCAUUAAGAUCAUAUUGGCAUACUCUCCCAAAAAAAAAAGAGCUCUCAUGGUUUGAGACCAAAAUUGUAAUUUAGCUUUUUUGUUUUUAGGCACCUUCUAAAAAUUCUUUUUUCUAGUCAUAUGAAUCUCUAUCAUGAUUUUGAUAGAGAAACCGAAAACCUAAAAACAUUGUUUGUUGGCCAUACAAAGUUCUAUCAUUGACCCUUCCUUCAAAGAAUAGGUAUUUAAGGGAGGACAACGGAUCGGAUACGGUCGGAUAUUUGAUGAAACUGUAUCUUUUUUUUUUUUUUUUAAUACAAAUUCGGAUGUGUAUAUAUUUCGAAUGCUAAAUUUUUGUUAUUAUAUCUGCUAAAAAUGAAUUUGGAUACGAUCAAAUACUUCGUAGGAUUUGAAUAUGGAUCUGAUUUGUAUUUGGGUAUUAUUUUAAUGAGAAUCAACACAUUAUUAUUGUUUGGUUUAGAAAAAUUUAAUUGUCCAAAAAAUUUAUUUAAAAUAGAAUCACAAUUUAAAAUAUAAAAUUAGAUUACACACUCAAAAAUAGAAAAUUUAAAAUUUUAAUUUUAAUUCACUAAUUUGUAUUCGAAAUUUAAUUCUCAAUUUAAAUGUAAUUUUGUUAGUUCAAAUUUGAAUUCAAAUGGUGCAUUUAAUUCACAAUUUAAAUAAUGUCAAAAAUAAAAUUUAAAAAAAUAAAUUUUAAUUAAAGGUUAAAAUCAAAUUUUAAAACUAUAUCUAAAUUUAAAAAUCAAACUUUAUAAUUAUAUUUUAAAACAAACUACACCCUGACCUGAGGAGCUAGCCCCAUACCAUGUAAAUUGUGAACUACAUCACACUCUUUGUUAUUCACCUACAAAAUUUAAUUAUUAAUACUAUUCUAGCCUAGUUCUAAUAACAAAUAUACAUAUUAAUUGUUCAUUAUUCAUAUUUGUAUUCAAUUUUUCGGAUAUCCGAACAAUUUUAAAUUCUUUGAAACUAUAUCAGCAUCCGUAUUCGACUUGAUCCAAAUAUUAUUAAAUAUGUAUGUAAUAAGGCCGGAUAUUAUCUCAUCCAUUUUCGACGCUAGAGAUGCAAACGGAGCAGAUCUAGAGGCAGAAAGGGUCCCCACGUCCCACUCUGCUUCUUGAGUCGAGGUCGAUUUGAAGCAGUUUAACUUUAAUCCUAUUUUAGCGCCCACAUACCGUUCCAUUCGGGGCGAAUCAGGACCGAAACGAACUUUUGGUGGAGUUUACUUUUCACUUGUCUAUUGGUCUUUUUUGAUCCCGCAAAUUCCAACACGAGGUAAGACGAAAGAGUAUACUCCACUACUAGUCCCAAAAAAGACAAAAGAAGAAAGGAUAUAUUGCACUACUAGUCCUUCAAUUUUUAAAUUCGACUUUCAAAACUCUGAACUUUCAACGAUAUUUCAUUUUCAAUUCUGGAUUUUCAGCAGUAUUUUAUUUCAGAUCUUUUUCUUAGAAUAAAAUUUACUGGUUGUACCAAUAGGCAAUAGGCAUCACAGACACGGACACGGACCCGAUGUAUGGAACACGGCACGACUUGGACACGAUGACUAGACAGCUCCAAAAAAAUUAAAACACAGACACGAAAUAGACACCACUAUUAUUAAUAUAAUAAUAUAUAUUUAUUAUAUAGAAAAUAUUAACUUUGUUAAAAUAUUAUUAUAUUUCUGAAUAAAAGUUAAGAAAAUUCUCAUUUAUAUUUGUGAAAAAAAAUUCUCCUUUAUACAUAAUUUAUUAGUAUUAUUCAAAAAAAUUUGUAUGUAUUUAUCAAAAAGCCAAAAUAUCCGUAUACGUUCAAUAACAUUUUGGUUUAGGUCUCCUACUAGAAUAAAAUUUUUUGUUUCUACCUGCUUCAUCUAUGGCUAUGUUUGUUUCGUCAAAAGUAGAGAAAUAUCUAUUUUCACUGCUUCAUUUACUGCUACUUUACCUUCUGUCGAAACUCAAACUCUCCAAAUUAAAAUAGCAUAAUUACUUCAUCCCACCUCAGGCCUAAGUCAAUUAUGAAAAAAAAAAUGUAAGAAAAGGAAUAAAAAAAUAUUAAUUUAAUUCUAGCACCUCUAACAUUAUGUCAUUAACUUCCUGCCAUACGAAUAAUAAAAAUGGAAGAACUUCAAUUCCACGGCUAUACAAACAAAAAGCAAAAAAAAAAAAAAAAUUAUCUGAACUAUAAUUCACUCGUAAGUCUACCUCAAUCUGAGCUUCAUCCUUGGUGAAACAAAUAAGCCCUAUAUGCCUGGACGACACAACUCUGUGACAUCCCAAUAGUCCCAGAUUGAAUGAAAAUAAGAUUGUGAUUGGACAUAUAAGACAUCAUGAAGAUUAGUAAUAAUAAUUAAAGUAGGGCUACUAUACUCUUAUGAGUAUAGAACCCUUUGUACUCAUAAGUUAUUUUCGAUGUUGGGGUUUUCGAAUCGACAAUCCACACCGUUAAACAUGAUCUAGAAUAUCUGAAACUUCUAGAAAAUAAAUUUUGUAAUUUUUUGAAANCAGUAAAUCUUUACAACGAGUGCUUUUUCUCAUUCAAUCGAAUAAAGAGUAAAAUCUAACUAUAUUGUUCUAUUAUGCCCCGAGAGUGUAAAUUUGGAACGAAUCGAUGUCAACAUUCACAAGAACCAAAAUCGGAAGAACAUUAGACUACUCGGUUGCACCCUAACAGUAUAACUUUGCAACGAGUACUUUUUCUCAUUUAAUCGAACAAAGAGUAAAACAUAAUUAUAUUGUUCUAUUACGCCCCGAGAGCGUACAUUUGCAACGAUUUGAUGUCAACGUUCACAAGAACCAAAACCGAAGCAACACAAGAUUACUUAGUUGCGCCCUAACAGUAAAUCUUUACAACGAGUGCUUUUUCUUAUUCAAUCGAAUAAAGAGUAAAACCUAACUAUAUUGUUCUAUUAUGCCCCGAGUGUGUAAAUUUGGAACGAAUCGAUGUCAACAUUCACAAGAACCAAAAUCGGAAGAACAUUAGUGUCACAGCCCGCGACCACUCGCCUAUUUGGCCGAGGUCGCGGCGCCGACAGUGCCGAACGGACAGGGUUUCCCCUAUACUAUGGACAGAGUCUCCCCUGUAUGUUCAUGGCAACGCAAUCAAUACAAUACGAGGGUUCCAACCAGGAACUGAUAUCAAUCAAGAUUGCAUAAUGGAAGGUAUCAAACAACAUAAACACAUCCUAAGUUAUUACAUUCAUUCACAUUCACGCAUUUUACAUCUCAAUUCUCAAUUGCUUUAACUUCCAAAUACAAUCUAAGUAGUACAUCGUUUACUUAUUACAAUUUGAUACAUUCGCUUUCUUUUCAUUUUCUUUACCCCUAAGCUUUGUAGACGGGUACUGCUAGCUCUGGUCUCUGGGGUAGGGCGCUAUCUACGGAGCUACGCCCUUUCCUCGCGCCGCCGCGCCGCUCACGUACGAACCUGUAAAACCCGAAAACAACGUGGGGUGAGAACCAACUCCAUGGUUCCCAGUGAGUACGGCCACCCAAGGUAAAAGCUCGACCGACAGGUUCAAAGGAGGCAACUGUAGGUUAGUUUAAUAAACAGAUAGAUAGAUAUUUUGACUAUGCAAUUAAUAGAACCAUACCUUGCCUCGCAAUUGUAACAAUGCUAUGCAAUAUGCAAUACCUGUAAAUCAUGCAAGUAGAUUACUUGAUCUACUUUAUAUCAUUAACCAUACUUUACUUGUAGCCGUUCUUUUCUUUAUUAGCUAUUCACGUUCGUUAGUUAUUCUUUAUUCUUUACUCUUUGUCUUAUUGUGCUCACUGGCGAUUCUUUCCUAAGGUUAUUUUACCUUAGCCAUCUAUGCCACUCGACUCGGUCUCGAGUCAAUCAACUGCGGAUAGUCCGCACUCUGUCCGGCUCAAGGUGAAGGACCUCUCACUUACACCUCAGCCUUCAGUCUACAAACAUCUCGCCAACGGGUCGCCCAGAGCUGCGUACACCCGUGGUCAGGGAUCUUUCCGGUGGGAAGGGGAUUAUACCACAAACUCAACCCGCGGCCCAAGACCCCCGAUAGGGAAGGGGACAUGCCACACUCAACCCUAGCAAAGCACAAUUCUGCCGACAGGAGGGGGAACCUGCCACACUCGACCCGCGGCCUCGAAUCAGCCUCAAGCUCAUCCUCGAAGUUCGUCCAGUGGGAGGGGACCCUGUCACACUCAACCCACUGCUCUAGAACUGUCGAGCUCACAAUCCUAAGAUUCCGGAAUCUAUUUCCCAAGCCUCUAGGGUAAUCUCAAACCCUAUGAUAUCGACCUAUCUAGGUCCAAUGCACUUUCUGUCCUAGGUCUAGCUGACUCUAGGUUUAAUGCUUUUUUUUUUUUUCACAUAACCUAUGUUCUUUAAACUAGGUUAAGCCUCUCUACCUAGAUCUUAUUAACUCUAGGUUCAACAACACUAAGUUCAUUGUCAACCUAGGUUUACCAACACUAGGUUCGAUAUCGAUUUACCUAGACCUUGAAUCUAGGUUCAUUAUGUUCAACCUAUGUUCACGACACUAGGUUAAUGCCACUCGAUCUAGCCUAGGUUCACGACACUAGGUUUAACAUCAUUCAUAUUCAUCCUAGGUUCUUGACCCUAGGUUCAUAUUCGACCUAUGUUAAUUACACUAGGUUCGGCGCCACUCGAUCUAGUUGGCCCUACUUGUCCACAUCGAAUUUCUAUAAUCAUAUAUACUCUAGCAUGCAUUCUAUGAUGCCGACAUGCAUCUACAUUUAACAUAGCCUACAUUAUCAUCGUGCAUGUUAUACAUGUAUAGCUUUUCUCAUCAUGCCAAUAAGCAUUAUCCUCUCGCAUGCAUUUUCAUAAGGUCAAUAUGCUCUUGUCAUCUAACUUGUAUUCACAUAAUGCACUUAUGCAUUUUAUCCAACCGCACUUACAUGCUCUAUUAUGAGUUGACAUGAACUAGCACUUGCAUAUAAUUCCAAUGCAUCAACAUGCCAUUAGCAACUAGCAUAAUUACUAUCAUUUAGUACAUGCAUCUUAACUAACAUGCUCACAUAAUGUUACAUGCACCUAGCAUACAUUCCAAUGCACAAAUAUAUCGCUUGUAUCUAGUUACUAGCAUGUACUUCCCAAUGCAUUAUUAUGCAAUUAUCACUAAACAUUACCCAACAUAAUCUCAUAACUCAUAAGGUUAACAAUAGGUUAACAUUCAUUUAUAUGCUCAUGUUCUCUAAUACAUGUCAACAUGAAUCUCAUAAUGCUAAAUGCCCCAAGCAUGUAUUUCACUAAGCAUACAUACUAAUAUGCAAAUUACAAUCUAGCAUGCAUUUAUACAAUGCAAAUAUGCCCGUAUGCACAUACAUAUAUGCAUCAACCAAAAAUCCAUAUUUCGCUUCGACAUGUGGGGCGACCAAGUCGCUUCAGUAAGCACAACCCACCUUAACACGCGUUCCGAUUGCUUGUCGACACUUGCAAUCGGCCGCCCGCGGCACCCGGCACCCGGUUUGGCCCGAUCUCACAAUUGCGGUCCAAGAGCGCGCCGCUUCGCUGUUUCAAGUGUAGAAGCUCUUCGCCAUGCUAACAUGAUGCCUCAAAUCCAUUUCCAUGAUUUUACGACGUCGCCUCGGCCCUCCCGGCGGACCCGAAGCCUAAACGUCCGUUUCUUUAAUAACUUCGCAACGGCUCGUCGGAUUGCCGAACCGUCUUCGCCAACGCGUUUCGUUACCUAGCAAUUAGGUUUACGGAUGGUCAAAUUAGAUCAAACCCUCAUAUUUUGAAAAUUAGCAUUUUGGACCCUAGGUUUCACCUAUUGCAAGAAAUCAUUAAAUUGAUCCAUGAUUUAAGCAACAAUCAUCUAUUUAGCAUCAUAGGAUUCCACUAAAUCCAUUUAUAAGGUAUUUAAACCAACCAUUAAAGAUCUACCAUUAAAGGCUAGCAAAAGCUUACCUCUCAAGCUUGCCCUCAAGGUGGAGAAGAUGAUGAUGAAGACAAUGAAUCCUCUCUUGGCUUCAAUCUCCACCAAAAUCCUCUUCUUUGGGAGAGAUUUAGAGAGAGAAAGAGAGGGUUUUCUUUUCUCCUUCCAUGCGUGUGUGUGUUGUGUGCGUGUGAUGUGUUCGGCUGGGAGGAAGAAGAAGCAAAGGGGAUUUAAUCCCUUUUUACCAUUUUGCCCUCAACUACACACUAUUCAUUACGGGCAGCUUGAAAUCUGAUAAAUUUCGUUGGAGCCCUUCUCUUCAUCCUGCUUGGGUGACAUCUCCUUCAAAACCACCUCCAGGUUCUUGCGGUCGACCUUCUUCCCCUUAAGGAAACGAUUUUGAAUAUCCGACCCCCAAUUGAGGCUUAGGUCUAGAGCUUGGCCCGACAGGGGUAAUCCAAGAAGAACUACCACCUCCUUGGCCGUGAAGCGUAUGACUUGAGGGCCUAUUUCGAAUUCUACACCCUCCUUCCAAUGACGGAGGAUGAACUCCAGCAAUGGCCUAUCUGAGGUGAUGUCGGGGAAGUGUAAGAUAUUACCGAAUAUCGUACUCUAGAUGACGGGAAGAUGAUGCGGCUUCACGACCGACUCGUAAGUCUUCCUAUACGCUCCGACGAAACACCGAGAAUUCACAAUGAAUCUACCGGCGGGGCCGCCGGCAACCGGCCGCGAAGGCGCCUUACGGCCAUCGGCAGACGAUGAAUCAGUAGAUUGCGACGACUUCGACGCCAUUGCAAGCAAUGUAGAUUUAGAUUGGUCGUGUAUUCGCUGAUUGGAUUCGAAGUGGACGAUGGUGGUUACAAAUAGAAAUGCGGUUGAUAGGGCAAUGACCGACGUAAGGCGGUUUAGAGGCCUUAAAGGAUUAGAAUAGGGUAAUGGAGAGCAACAGGAGUUUGAAAGUUAGUGGGAUGCUAGUAUGGGCCAAACAAUUUUACGAAACAGCGUAAGAGUCCAUACAAAACCUGACACAAUAGCACACCAAGCACCAAACAGCGAGAAUGUGAAAGUUAGCAGCAUUAAAUGUAGCGACAGAUUCGUACAUUGACGUGAUCGUUAUACUCGAGUAAGUAGUGAAGAGGCACUGGCCGGUAAGAGAGAGGAAGAGACACCGGCGACACAUCGAAGUUUUUCGGGAGAAUUCAUCCCGGAUUUAAUCUCUGGUUAAACUUCUUAUUGCACCAUUCUCAACAUACUGUUGAACGUGUAUUAUAAAAUAUAUGGACCAUCAUUAGCCAGUUCUAAAAAUUGUCGACUCGUUGCACCAUUACUUUCAAACCAUUGAUCGAUUACUACGAUAAUAUUACACCAUUACGUGCUGAUUUGAGCUCUUUUACAGCCCGUCGCACUAUUAAUCACGUUUAACGUUGUAAACUUAAUCGUGUGGUCGUUCACCAAUUAGUGUAAUAAAUUGCCUAAAUGGUGCAACAUCGUCGGAAAUAAGAUUUUCUCUGAAUUUGUUUAUAAUAUGAAUGUAAAAGUGCAACAUCGUCAGGAAUAAUAGUGUAACAUCUGCUGUAAUAGUGUAAUACAGCUAAAAGCGGUGCAAGAAUAGAAUGAAUUAUACAGAUAUAUUUACUAUAAGGCGUAACAAUGUAAAGAAAGGGAUCUCUUUAUUAAUAUACAAGCAAAUUAUACAUUGUCUUUGACGAAAACGCAACAUAUAAUACACAUUUUGCAUACAAUACGAUGUUCACAACAUCAACUGUAACUUUCGCAUCAACAUUAUUAAUGAACAAAAUUAGGCUUUCAUUUUACAAAAGUACUGAAUCAUCAUCAAAGCUAGCCGGCAAAUCCACGAGCACAUAACAUACUCUGAGGUUCCUCUAUCGGAAGAUGAAAUGGCAAAGAGGAGAAGGCUCGCUCGGAGGGGUAUGUCGAGAGCUUUAUUUGCACUAGGGACUUUGGCACUGACGUUUUGGCACUACAUUGUUCGUAAAGAGACAGUAUAGUCAGAAAAAAAUUAGAAUCUAUCGAUAAGAAUAUAGAUCUUGAAGAAUUUAACAACCUGGUAUAGGGUGGUGCCUCGUCGCAAAUAAAGCACAGUACUUCAGAUAAUGCGAAUCAAUCUUAACGCCUCCUUACUGGAUGGUACACUUACGACCGAGCCUCUUCUUCGUCGAAGUCUCCUGCGGCUCUCUCCUCUCGUCUCGUGUACCUCCAUCAUCGCCGUUUCCUCGUCGCCGGUUGCCCAAGUCCCUAGAGAGUGCUUUUUAUAUAUUGUAAUGAAACGAUAAUACAUCUGAAGAACCGUUUUAUAGAAAACGAAAAGGCAUUUGAAGAAUCGAGUCGAGCGACUCCAAGACUGGGAGGUUGCGUAACCAUUUAGGUCACCGACUAUUAAUGCUCGCGAAAUAUUAGUUUUCGUCGUGAACAGAAAGUGGCUAAUGCUGACCUCAAGAGCCGUAUUACUGUAACAUCACUAAAAAAUAUCAAUUAUUCAUUAAAUCGUAUAAUAAUAGUGCAACGAUAGGCUGUAAUAAUAGUGCAACGCCAAGUAACAAAAUGCAAAAAAAGUGCAAUACCGGCGCGAUAUUAGAGUAACAUUCGUCAUAACAGUGCAACGCCCUUACGAUGAAUGAAACUGAAUAAGCCAUAAUUAAACAAAACCAAAAUAUGUUUGAAUAGUCGUUUUUACUUUUCCCAAGGCAGCAUCGAUAUAACCGUCGGUGUCUCCUAUCCUCACACAAGAGACGCUAUAACGUAGACGUUACACUAUGUACAUUUAGAAGCAUUAAAUGCGCGCUGCGCUAGGAGCGUAUAUCCACGCUAUUCGCUAGACAGCGUGUUUGCUGAUCCAUGAAUCCAUUGCACUAUUAUGGUGACAUAGUUGCACCCUUAUGAACUUAGUUCUACUAUUUUACCCUACGUUGCACUAUUAACCGCGUUGCGAACCGUUUCCUUUCGCCUCACCGGAGAGACACUAUAGCCUACACGUUAUUGUACAUACGCUUCCGCAAGCAUUAAAUGCGCCCCAGCGCGGGAAACCUAAUAUUCCACGCUAUUCGCCACAUCCAGUGUUUGCUGUUUGGAAUCUUCACCGACGCCUCCGCUUCCUGAAAUCAUUGAACUAUUCUGUCGACCACAUUGCACCAUUACAAUCACAGUUGUAGUCUUUUAACCUACGUUGCACUAUUAAUCGCCGUGCGCGGUCGCACUGUUACACGCUUUAGCGGAGAAUCUUGAACGCUUUUGAUCUGAGUUACACCACUUAAAGCCUUCUUUAAAUAUAAAUAUCAUUUCACCUCACAAUGCGUUGCACUAUUAUCGGCCCGCAAAACCAAGUAAGGUUGUUCCGCCGCGACCGCCAAACGUCCGCAUACAAUCGGGCAGAAGAAAGGUUUCGCGGCGAGAGUCUAUUGCUAACGGCUUAAUAAAGAAGCGGUGCCGGAAUUGCCAGAGAUUGGGGCACAACAAAAGGUCCUGCAAGAACCAUCCUGUUGCUAGAGCAAACCAGCCGCCCGCGACGACAUUCGCGGGCGCACCGCAGGAAACAUCAGAAAAUCCAUACGUCUUAUUGUAAUAAUUCAAGGCUAAUGUUAAUAGUGAACAUAUAGAUAAUUUGAAUAUGUAAAUUUUUGUAAUAGUAUAAAAUAGAGGAUAACAGUUCAACAUAUUUAAAAAAUAGUGUAACGAGGAUCUCAAAAUUUUUACGGGUUAAGUCAGGUUGCACUGAAACUAUGCAACGGAUGCACUAUUAUAGCGAUAAUUGCACCAUUAUACUGCAGUAGACAUUCCCGUUGCACUAUUAUCCCUGGCGCACAGAUGCUAAUUCGACACGGCGUCUGAAUAGUGGGUUUAUCUUCUCGAGACAGUUUCGAUAUACCCACCGGUGUCUCUUCGAGCGCCGAAGAGACGCUAUAACGUACACGUUAGUGUUUGCUAUCAAGUUUAUAAUUUAUUAGAGGUCAACCGAAGAGGCAGCGGUGGGUUUGUGAGGUGACGAUUCGUUCUGUUUAAAUAUCGGUUCUUCAGAUGCAUUCCCCAUUACGGAGACAGUGGUGUUCGUGAAAGAAGUGAAGACGACAAUGGCAUUCCCUGUAAGAGGAAGCGCAGCGCUUCCCCUCCACAGCAGCGCUUCCCCUCUUACGAGGAAGGCCGUUCGUCGCCUUCGACUCGUUCACAAAUAUUGGCCUUGCUUUAACCUCCUCGCCUUUACGUAGAGAAGAUUCGCACUCUCUGGAGUGUUUUAUUUGCUAGGAGCCCAUUGGCCCUCCUCUCAUCUCAUGCAGUUUCUUAAUUUCUUGCAUAUAUUUAUUCUUAUCGUUGGAUUCUAAUGUUUUUCUGUCUGUACUGUCUGUUUCAUGGUAGAGCGGAGCUCCAAAUUGCACAAAGCAAAUGAAACAUUCCAGAUAGUGCGAAUCAACCUUAACGUCUUGUUGCUGGAUCGAUUGUACCCUUCCGAUCGAGCCUCCUCCUCCUCCUAGCAGUCUCCUUCGGCAGUCUCCUUCGGCGGUCUCCUUUGGCCAAUACCUGUUUGCGUCGGCUAUGUGAUCGUGGAUUUGCAGAUAAACUUCGAUGAUUACAUAAUCAAUCUUAUGAAGAGAUUGUUAUAGUUGAUGUAAUAGAUGGUUGCAUUGUGAUAAAAUCGUGUUUGUAUUUUAUUAAGUACUAUAAAAUCAUGUAAUCGGCUUUACAGAUAAUGUAAUUCUUGUUCACAGAUUAAUGUACUCCUUACGAAUUUAUUACACUAUUUACAAGUUACUCUUUUUUACCAAAUAUUGUUGCACUGUUUACUUCAUUUUAUAAUAUUAAUUUUAGACUUUUUUCCACUAUUAUGUUCAUGUUUUCACCUAGCCUGGGAAACGUUACUAAGAAAUUGCACUAUUAUGUUAUUGUUAUCAACUAGCCUGGGAAACGUUAAUAUGAAACUGAAGAAGCCAUAUUUAAAUAAAACCAAAAUAUGUUUGAAUAGUCGCUUUUACUUUUCCCGAGGCAGCUUCGAUAUAACCGCCGGUGUCUCCUAUCCUCACAGAAGAGAUGCUAUAACGUAGACGUUAUGCUACGUACUUUUAGAAGCAUUAAAUGCGCGCUGCGCUGGGAGCGUAUAUCCACGCUAUUCGCGAGAACGUGUGUUUGCUUUUCCAUAAAUCCAUUGCACUAUUAUGGUGACAUAGUUGCACCCUUAUGAACUUAGUUCUACUAUUUUACCCUACGUUGCACUAUUAACCGCGUUGCAAACCGUUUUCUUUCGCCUCACUGGAGAGACACUAUAAUAUACACGUUACUGUACAUACGCUUCCGAAAGCAUUAAAUGCGCCCCAGCGCGGGAAACCUAAUAUUCCACGCUAUUUGCCACACCCAGUGUUUGCUGUUUGGAAUCUUCUCCGACGCCUCCGCUUCUUGAAAUCAUUGAACUAUUCUGUCGACCACAUUGCACCAUUACAAUCACCGUUGUAGUCUUUUAACCUACGUUGCACUAUUAAUCGCCGUGCGCGUCGCACUGUUAAUCCCUGUCGCAUUUUAAUGCUAGUGGCAGGCACGAAGAGUGACGUGUACGUUAUAUUCGGUUAAGUGGGGAGAAGGAGGCACCGGCGGGUUUGUCAGGCGACGAUUCGUUUUGUUUAAAUAUCGGUUCUUCGGAUGCAUCUCCCUUUACGGAGACACAACCUUUGGUGAAGGAGGUUAAUCGACAACGGCGUUCCCUGCAAGAGGAAGCACAGCGCCGAAGUACGAGAUGGAGGCUCCUCCUACUUGACGCGCCGCUUCCUCCUGCCGGGAACGCCGUUCGUCGCCUUCCCAUCCUUGACCAAUAGUUGCGUCGCCUUAAUCUCGUCGCCUUUACGAAGAGAUGAGUCGCCGCAGGCGCCACAACGACUGGUACCAGGCUACAGUUCGUCCAUGACGUUUAGGCAACGACGGUAGAUGGCCGAAGCAGAGUUCGAGGAGUAGGCGGCUCGCUCCGAAGGGAACCGAAGCAGAGUUCGUGGAGUAGGCGGCUCGCUCCGAAGGGUACCAUCCAACAAUGAGGCGUUAAGAUUGAUUCGCACUAUCUGGAGUGCUUUAUUUGCCACGAGCCCAUUGGCCCUCCUCUCAUACAAGUUCUUAAAUUCUUGCAGAUCUUUAUUGUUAUUGAUGGAUUCUUAUGUUAUGCUGAUUGAACUGUCUGUUUCAUGGUAGAGCGGAGCUCCAAAGGGCUUGAGGCAAAUAAAGCACUCAAGAUAUUGCAAAUCAAUCUUAACGCCUCGUUGCUAGAUCUACCCUUCCGAACGACCUUCCUCCUCGUCGCAGUCUCCUUCGGCAGUCUCCUCCUCGCAGUCUCCUCCUCGCAAUCUCCUCCUCGCAGUCUCCUGCGGAAGUCUCCCCUGGCCUAUACCUGUUACCUUAGGCUAUGUGCGCGUGGAAUUGCAGACAAGCUUCGAUGAUUACAUAUUUUUGUUAAAUAAUUAUAUUAUGUUCAGUUUGUUAUAAUUGAUGUAAUAGAAUUUUGCAUUGUAGGCAAAUCCUUUUUGUAUUUUGCAAACUUAUAUAAAAUCGUGUACUCGGCUUUAAAGAAAAUGUAAUUCUUGUUCACCAAUUAAUGUACUCCUUAGAAAUUUGUUACACUAUUUACCAGUUACAAUAUUUACCAAACAAUGUUGCACUGUUUACAUCAUAGUAUAAUAUAAAUUUUGACCAUUUUUGCACUAUUAUGUUCAUGUUAACACCAAUUCUGUGAAAAUUUUGUGCUCAUAUCGUACUGUUACACGCUUUACGGAGAAUCUUGAACUCUUUUGAUCUGAGUUACACCACUUAAAGACUUAUUUAAAUAUAAAUUUUAUUUCAUCCCACCUUGCGUUGCACUAUUCUCGGCGUUUAAAGUUACAGAAUUUUUAUACGUUGUAUCCACCUCUCCAACGCACCCUUACAUGCUUAGUACGAGUCUUUUUCAAAACAUUGCACUGGUAUUACUACGGUAUUGCACUCUUACAAGUUUCGUUGCACUCGUUUUUAAAUCCAUUACACUGUUAUUUCUCCGUAUUGCACUCUUACAAGCUUCUUUGCAUUCUUUUGAAAAAUAUUAUUCUGUAAUUCACACUGCCUUGCACUAUUAUUCGCGUUUAACUGUAACUUAUUUAACAGUUAAAAGAAUGCGUGAUCUUUUAUAAGAAAACUUUACACAAUCGUUUAGCCGUUAUGUCGCGCCUCUCGAACUCCGAACCCCGCCGGCGACCGUCCAGCCCCGCAGGCGAGCUUCCUGGCGCGCCGACUCUUAUAUCGCACAUCGCCGACCGUGUACGCCGCAGCGACCGUCCUGCGCCGCCGACGCUUCGCCUGCAUUUGGAGGGGACGCCAUUCUUCUGCACUUUUAAGUUCAGAUUAUAUUAAGAAAUAGAAAAGUAAAAUUUUGACUGGUUAAGGAGAGGUUGCCUAGCGAUGCACUGUUAGAAGGGAAGUCGCACCAUUUUUUCUGGUGUUGUACCUUGCGUUGCACUAUUAUCCCUGUUGCGGGCCGUGCAGAUUUUGUCAUUUAUCAUGAGUAAUUGUAUUAAAGUCUUAAAGCCAAACAGGAAACAGCGGGGCCGGCGAAUAGCGGGGGCGGAUGUGGUCCGGGUUCCGAGAAAUGAGCGAGAUAGCGUAAGGCGGAAGCGGCGCAUUUAAUGCGCGUCAGACCGUACGGCAGAGUAGUAGGGUAGUAUACGUAUGUCAAGAAAUACGCGGGCGGCUAUUGUAUAGGAGGGGCAUUUUGGUCAGGCGGCGAAAAAAACAGACCGAAUCUGCAAAAACGAAAAAGGUGGCCCGGUUUUGCAAAAGCCCAAAAUAACCGCCAAUUAAAAGGAGACAUUUUCUCAAUCUUUGUUAUAGCCAUUGCAGCUGCUGAAGCAGCUAUUGGACUUGCUAUUGUUUCGUCGAUCCAUCGUAACAGAAAAUAAACUCGUAUGAUCAUAAUUGUUGAAACGAAAAUCAAAGUCUCUUGACCUUUUCUCAUAAACAGAUUGAUUUAAGAAAUAUAUUGAUUGUCAAAAUGAAAAUAAACCACUGCUUCGUCUGGUGUCUACAAUAUUACAACAUAGUUUGUAGUUGAUUACCAACCUUGGCUAGUUUAGUGGGAUUGACUUCUAAAGACAGGAAUUCUUUUUCAUCUCCUCGGACAAGACCCUGUAUAAGUCGACGUCUUAACCUGACUUCAAUAGCUCAGUUGAUUAUUGAAGCAGUAGCAUUCCGCUCCUACUCCUACUCCUGCUACUGCUAUUGCUACUGCUACGACUCCUAGUCUAGGCUCAGUCAUUGGUCAACUUUCUUCUCUCAAGGAUUUGGAUAUUCGUCAAAAUCAAAUCCGUCUUUCAACCGCUUUUUUUUUGUUUGAAUAAUUUCUCUAAGUUAUAAGUUGAACAACUAUUGAAUAAGUGAAGAAAUUCUAUUUGCUCAAUAAAAUAUUCCCCCAACAUCCUUUCUUUCCCUUAGUUUGUCCACGCCUCCGUCCUGCAAGACCUGCAAUUCAUUGAUAUAGUUAGUUCUACUAACGAAGAAAAUGGCCUAAGCGACAGGCCUAUGUGAGUUGUGCGGUUCUAGCGCACUGUUUUAAAUACAGCGCGACAAAGAACCACCCAGACUUGCGUCCUAGGUUGAUAACAGCCUUAGAAAACAAGUAGGCGCCAAAUACACCAGCUCCGCUGGCGCGGAUAAAUCGGAAGCAGAAGCGAGGCAGGACCGCUUGGAAAUUGUUCGAUCUCACCUUAUGGAGGAAAGGAAAAGCAUUUGAUCAUUUUUACAUGGAAUCGGGUCCAAGUCCCGGGGUAAAACCGCGAGGUCUAUCGCUCAUAGAUUGGGAACUCCUAACUCCACUGGAGGACUAGCUCCGUUGUGCCAAUUCCAGCCCGACUCCAUUAUAUUCACCAACGGCUCGAAGAGCUCGCUGAAAAAUUGGAUGCAGUUUAUCAUAAAAUAUGAAUCAUCCUCAGGUCUGAAAAUCAGCAGAGAUAAGAGAUGAGCGAAAGGUCCCAUGGAGUGGGGAAUAUCCCGAGUAUAAAGUUAGACAACUAAAUGCACCUCGAGGUGCAGCCGAGGAACUGGGGGACCCUCUCGAGCACAGGAUAGGCAAUUGAGAGAUAGAUCCAAACUCAAUUCCUUUCUUUCUUGAGUGGAGAAUAUCCCACACUUGGAGAGAGGCCAACCGUGCGGCACCGUCAAAGUACAUUUCCCAUGGGGCUAGGGCUAACAUAUGCCAACCCAGGGCGAAGGGAAGCAGGGACAGGCAAGGAUGCAGGAAUAGAUGGUUGUGAAUAAACCUGUGCGCCGGGUCAACUUCACUCGGUCUUUCCGCCUUACAACACCGAGUCCGCUCGGAGACAGAGAGAGGGAGAGCAAGGUCGCCGGAGAAGGAGGUGGAGUUGCUCGGACGCUCAGAGCUCUGAGAAGGAAGUCCGGUCUUAGAUGGUUGGAAGACAGAAGCAAUAGCAUGAUAGGAAUAGCAGGUUUAAUAGAGAUGACAUCACAAUAGGAUGAAGACGAUACUGAUUAUCUGCUUGAACGUGGAAAUGACCCUCUCACCGCCCCUAUUCAGCCCGAAAGGCUUCUACCUUCCCCGAAAACCACCCUUAUUCAGCCUGCUUGGUAAGCAGCUUGCGGCCUCGCCAGAUCAGACAUCUCUGGUUGUCGAUCCUCCGACUAAGCCACAGGUUUUUAGGUCUUCUCGCAUUUUCUCCGGCAGAACGGUUAGGCAACACGGAGGCGCCUGGGUCAAAAUCCCGUUUACCAAACAAGAUGUCGAGAGGCGAACUCUGUAAUUCCCCUCCAGCAGCCAAAGUGAUAGCGGCUGCGCUUUCUUGAGUUUCUGAGUGGAAAAAACCCAAGGGCAGAAGAAGGAUGCAAGCUGGAAAGACUUUUACAAUAAAUUCUUUACUUGGCCGGAUUAGCUAUUUCACUUUUUUUUUUUUGACUCAUUCACAGGCAGGAAAGACUGAAAAGUCAAAGGAAGCAGCGGUUUGAGUGACCGAAUCCAACAUCAAGAAGCAGCAGCGGAACGAGAGAAUUCCCUCUAUAGUGAGGAAAUCGAUCUCCGACUAGGAAAAAGGGAUCAGAUCAAUUCACGGUCCCAGGGCUAUAGCAAACCCCGGUUCCAGAUGUUCGAUGGGACCGGAGUCGUUCAGAUAUCAAUAGCAGCCAGCCAGUUAGUUGAACCAAUGCCAGUUGACCGUGUGAAAGAAAUAGAUCCAAUUGACGGUCACAGAACCACUACUGCUACGACUCCUAGUCCUAGUCCUACUGAUACUGAUACCUUUUCUGGCACAAGCCCUUCCAACAGUGAAUAGUUAGCUGCUUCCGAUACUGAUAACAGCGGCGGGAAUAGGAGCCGAAAGCCAGAUUGAGUUCCGACUGAACUAUCAGUAGAGCAGUUGUCGAUUGUAAGUCCAAGACCCUCCAAGAAAAGAAUUGACUCACAAUCUAUCUCCUCUGAUUUUAGGAAAUCAUACCUCUCUUUCUUAAUGAAAUAUCUGUCUCCGUGUUGCGCAUCUUCAACACCUCUGUACAUCUGACCGAAAACUCGUAGUAGGAAUCAACGUCCAAACCGACUUCUGCACAUUUGAGUACUACCCGGUGUAUACUUUUUUCCCUAGGAAGUCUCGAGGCAAAAGAGUGAAAGUGGGAAUCGGCACUAAAAGCACGAAGAGUAAUUGAUCAGAUUCGCGGGCGUUCCUAUGAGGAAACACUUAUGAUACUGGAACUCAUGCCUUAUCGAGCAUCUUAUCCCAUUCUAAAAUUGGUUUAUUCCGCAGCAGCAAAUGCUAAUCAUAAUAUGGGUUUGAACGAAGCUGAUUUAUUCAUUAGUAAAGCCGAAGCCAAUAGGAGUACUAUUGUGAAAAAGUUAAGACCCCGGGCUCGAGGACGUAGUUAUCUGAUAAAAAGACCGACAUGUCAUAUAACAAUUGUAUUAAAAGAUAAAUCGAAAUCAUUUUUAGAUCAAUCUAAGAUUUAGAUUCAUAUAAAAAAAAAAAAUAUAUAUAUAUAAUAGAAAAAUAUGGGACAAAAAAUGAAUCCACUUGGUUUCAGACUUGGUACAACUCAAAGUCAUCAUUCCUUUUGGUUCACACAACCAAAAAAUUAUUCCGCGGGUCUACAGGAAGAUGAAAAAAUACGGAAUUGUAUCAAGAACUAUGUACAAAAAAAUAGGAAAAUAUCCUCAGGUUUCGAAGGAAUUGCACGUAUAACAAUUCAAAAAAAAAUCGAUUUGAUCCAAGUCAUAAUCUAUAUUGGAUUCCCAAAUUUAUUAAUAGAGGGGCAAACACGAGGAAUCGAAGAAUUACAGAUGAAUGUACAAAAGGAGUUUCAUUCUGUAAACCGGAGACUCAACAUUGCUAUCACAAGAGUUGAAAAACCUUAUGGACAACCUAAUAUUCUUGCAGAAUAUAUAGCUUUACAAUUAAAAAAUAGAGUUUCGUUUCGAAAAGCAAUGAAAAAAGCUAUUGAAUUAACUGAACAAACGGAUACAAAGGGAAUUCAAGUGCAAAUAGCAGGCCGUAUCGACGGAAAAGAAAUUGCACGUGUCGAAUGGAUCAGAGAGGGUAGAGUUCCCCUACAAACAAUUCGCGCUAAAAUUGAUCAUUCUUCCUAUACCAUUCGAACUAUUUAUGGAGUAUUAGGUAUAAAAAUUUGGAUAUUUGUAGACGAGAAAUAAUCGACCCUGUCUUCCCAUUCUGUCCAGUGAUAAAACAAAAAAUGACAAACUCUUUCAUUCUUUUUCCGUUAAAAAAAAAAAAAUGAACAAUUCUAAUUCUAUAAGGUUAAAUAAAAAUUCGAUUGAUCAUUUGGUAUAAUUGCUAUGCUUAGUGUGUGACUCGUUAGUUUUUUCUUUAUAGUUUCAAGUUGGGAUUAAAAAAAAAAAAAAAAUAGACUGACCCCCACUAUAAACUUUGUAAAAAAUAGAAUGACUUUUUUAGGAAGUGACUGACACUAACGAUGAAAUAGACCUCCCAGCGAACAAAACUGCAUUGGUUACAUAUUCGCAUCCGACUCUUGCUGUCUUGACUUCUUUAUAACUGUGUAUUCUCAAACCAAUAUCACACAUACCCUGUAGACUGUUCCCACUCUGGUAUACCAGCCUAAGCCUAAGUCAAGAGGGAAAGCUAGCCUCACUAUACCGAUCAUGGCUUCUGCACCUAAACACAUCCCUUCCUUCUCAUUUGGCUUAGGGGAUGCCCAAAGCUAGCCUCACAUCUUGGCCAGACGUCUUCAAACAAGUAUUCAAUUCAUUUAGAACUGGCUGAAGGCCGGGAAAACAUAAAAAGCUCAAGGUCGAGAUAGGGAAUAACCAACCCUCGGCUCGGUAGAGGCUUCUGCCAAGGAAGAAGAACCUAAAAAAAGUUUACAUAUAUAGGCUCUGUAAAAGAGGCUAAAAACUCUCUUUACGACACAAAUAGGGACAGGUUUGUUUUAGUCUUCAAAUAACUAGAAAGUCAAAACUCUUAAAGUGAUAGUCUGAAUCUCGCUACAUAGGAUGCAUGUUGAUAGACUAGCGUUGAAACCUAGCCAUCAUUCCCUACCAUGGUUGCAGAACGAGAGGCAGAAACUAAAGCUUUUUAAAAUGCUGCAGAUGCCACCACUGAAGCAGAAAGAGCUAGGCGCUAAGUAUGCUCAAACUAAUGUUCUAUUCUACAUGUUUUAAGCCCUUUUUAGGGCUUUCCGCUCCUCUUUGGAUGACGGAUUGGGAUUAGCAUAAAUGGCUGUUCACAGCCAGUCGAUCUCAGAUCUGCGUCUAAACCGUAAUGGUUUUCUAAUAUUCUAUCCUACCGUAUCCGAACAUACCCGGAAGUCCCACUCCCGGUUCAAAAAUAAGUGAUUCGUUUUUAUGUGAAUUUGAAUGUUCAGGAACCACACCUCUUACUUAUUGUCAUCACUGCAUUUGCUUUGGCCUACAAAAGCUCGGCCGAGCGGUCCUGCCUCGCUUCUGCUUCCGAUUUAUCCGCGCCAGCGGAGCUGGUGUAGCGAUUUCAGUCGGAAUGCAGGAUCAAUUCUUUCGCUGUAAUAAGCUUAACACAGGCCUGGCUUUUCUAUUGUAGUUCAAUGCGUUUGCCACCUCCCUCAACCUUCUGACCUUACUUCCCUGUCAUCACCGGGCCCAUUGCUGGGUGCCACGGUGGGAGAUAAGGACCAACGUGAGCCUCGAAAUAUUCAAGUUGGUGAAAACAUCCGUUACCGGUCCCCUCCCCUCUAUAAAUAGAGGAGCUCUGUGACCGAGAAGACACCUUUGGACCGCUCAAGACUUCUCGAAGUGCUGCGCCUUCAUCCUCUUACAGCCCGAGACUGAAUCUUCUUACUUCAUACUUCUUUAACUUCUUCCAAGUCUUUCGGGACUUGCGACUUUCGUCUUUCUUCACAACUUUCAUCAGACUUUCUCUUUCCCCAAGGUGAUUAUCUGAUGAUGAUCGGAAGAACGUAACCUCUCUAGGUUACAUGGUAUGUAUGGGGAAACCCAGUUUGAUCCUGUUUUGGCUCUGUCUCCCUCAUUCAGCCAGGUAAAACCUCAGUAGCCAUUCUAGGGAAUUUGAUCCUUUUAGUGGCUCUAAGGGUUGUGUCUUCUAUCAGUCAGUUGAGAGCAAUCUCGCUGGUAGAGGAAUCAACUCACCCGCGGGAACGCGGGAAAGGCAUCAAACCAAUUAAAAUCGUCCGUUCCGUCAUCUGGCUUAUGUUCUGAAUGUAGCAUUCAGACCUCCCGCCACACGUCGAUUCCAAUCGUUAGAAAAAGUUGUUCUCGAACAGGUCGGACUGGAAUCAAGAGACCACGUAUAGCUUGUUGCCUGCUUUCUAGGAGUGACUGAGCCUGGAAGACAUUGCUGGAGCCCUGAGUGAUUCAAGAUCAGACAGAACGAACCUGCCCCAGCACAGACCUCUGCAGCACCUUCUUUAAGGCUAAAGGGAAAAAUAUCAUGUCGUGCACCUUCAUGCUAUUGAGGAGAAAAAGAAAGCUAAAGGGAAGAAUCCGCAGGACUUCUGAAUUCGAAUAACUAAAGUGAAAGAGGAUCUCAUGAAAUGUGUCAACCAUGUUUGUUAAAAUCCCGAUUCGAUCCUACCAUUUUGCCAUUUUUUCAAGAUCGAGCUCGUUUUCCACCAGUUCAAUUUCGGGUUUACCCAGAAGCUCUGUCUCCAUCCAUCGCGCUCCGUCAAUCCGCUCUUCAUCGAUAGACGAAGCUCUCUCUUUUUCAUCUCGUGCCAGAUGCAACAAAAGAUUAGUCCUUUUUCCUUCUCGCGAACCACGUGCAAAUUCACAAUGUAUGAGAAUCUCUCUUGAAUCGGAUCCCCUCUCUCUCAAAGGAAAAUAUACGUGAUGGGGAUAGCGCAUAAGUACCAUUCAAUACGGACUGUUGAAUAGCUUUCACUUCCUCUUCCUCCUACUCACUGGCUUGACUGCAUUGACUUAUUGGAUUGCCCCCUUUUUUUUUUACAGAAAGCUUCGGCAAAGAACUUUUCUGAGUUGUCACAUCAAACAAAAGCAAAAGUGCACUCGACUGGUAAAAAAGGGAGAUGGUACCGAAGCGGGAGGCUCGUAGACGCUACUAGUGCAAUGACUAGUCUAAUCUCUUUUCUCUACGUGAACUUUUCUUUCUCCCGGUGUGUUAUCUAAGUCUUUUAACUAGUCCAAUGGAAAUCUCUCCCCCUCCCUCACUAAUCUAACCAAAAGAUUAGAAUAACAGACACCAACUGGUGAUUGAAGAUGUCUCAGAUACCAGGGAUGUGCCCUCUACCAGCGAGAUUGCUCUCAACUGACUGCACGAUGUGGCGAGAGGGGUCAUCUUGCCAAAGAUAUUACCGUGGAUUUUUUAUGCAAAUUGGCCAUAUAAAAAUAAUAUAAUAGUACUGUGAUUGCGAUAAUGCGAUAAUAAUUAAGAUAUCUCAUCACUUUUAUAUCAGCGACACAUUAAUAUUGUUGGUGAAAAACUCAAAAUUUUAAAAUUUGAACUUUAUUCUAUUUAAAUUUUUAAAUUAUUUAUUUAUUAUUUUUAUUAUUUAUUAUUUUUAUUAUUUAUUUAUUAUUUUUUAAUUAUUUAUUUUUAUUUUCUUUCUUAAUGAGUAAGAAACUAACGGGAUAUUUUCUCGUUCCUUUUCUUCCGCCAAACGAAAUUCCAUUCUCGCUCGAUUUCUCGUAACGAGAAAGAGCGGGAAUUCUCUUUUCUAUAUAUUAUCUCUUUUUCUCCCCUGUUAAGUAGGAUAUCAGAUAAUUGGUUAAUCCUUAUUUAUUCAAUAUUUUAUCUUCUAAUAUUUUUUCUUAUUACUGGGUGCUAAAAAAAUCUCUGUCAACCUCCUUCACGAUCGUGCUCGUAAGAGGAGGAAUACCGGUCAUACCUUAGGUGUUAUUUUCGGUUAAUUCCGCACGUAAGGACGGGAAUACGCCUUAGGGCAGUGCUUCGUACGCUUCUGGAUAAGAUCAUAUCUUUAUUUAGAUAUUUGCGUUUAUCUGUAAAUUUGGUUUUGUUUUUAUCACAAUAUUAAUUAGAUUUUAAUCACAAUCAGAUUUUCGUUGUGCUAUUUACCCCAACAAUCUAAGGCGUAUCUCCCAAUCUGAUUGUGAUUAAAAAUCUAACGGGUGCUAAUCUGUUAAUAAAAAAAAAAGUUAAAUAUUUUGGGAUUAGCAUUUAAAUUGUAAAUUGCAUAUAUUUAUAAUUUAAAUUGCAAAUCAUUUUAUAUAUAUAAUUUUUGCACUGUACUGCUAUUUAAAAAAAAAAAUGUAUAGAGAUUAUUUCUAUCGUAAAACAAAAAAAAAAUCUUUUUUUUAAGAAGAUUUUGAUGAACCGUACUCUNUUCAUCCUGGAGCUUCUGCUCUCCUCAGUGGAGGGGUUUUUAUAGAGAAAGAGGUGAGUCGAGGCGAGGGUUGCCUCCCGCUUCGCUUGACCGAUUCCUCUCCGUCGGAGGAAGAUCGACCCUGAACAAGAAAGAAGGAGCUGCUCUCGAUGUGAGAGAAGGAGCAAAAAAGUGUCAUUUUCUGCCCCACCUAAAAACAAAGACAGACAACGGACUGGACACAAACAAACAAAAGAAAGAAGAAGUGCCUUCUCGCCCUGCCCCGAUGAUGCGCUCAACGCUCGCGGAACUACACUACAUACCGGAAAAAACUCUCUCUAUUACUUUGAUAAGAGAAUCAUAGGUUUGACCGACGAGCUACGUGGGAAAUACGAGAUCUAGGCAAGCCGUUCUCCCCUUGCCCUUGAACGAUAGAUAGGGCGAACAUUUCAACCUUAGUUAUCACUAUCACUAGAGGAGGAUGUGAAGCCCUCUUCCAAAUAGAAUUGGAGAUCAAUAGCUUCUUUGGCCUCUUUGGCUAUCACGAAAAAGGGGCUGUUUCUCCCUUUUUCAUUUAAAUCGUGAAUAACCCCAUUGAUUGUAUCUAAAUCAGUGGAACUAUUCAAAACACGAUCAACAAUAUCGUGUAUGCUGGAUUUGUCCUUCAUCGGACAGUUUUCCUCAUCAAAGAGGUGUCUUAGCUUAUUCCCAAGCUUUUUUUGGGCUUUCACAAAUAGCUCAACCGUGUUUGGCUCCUGAGGAGCUGGGACCUGUGGAGCUUCAGCCGGAGGAGCUUGGUUGACGCUCGCUUCCGAGUGAGCUGGGCUGGAGGCUCCUUCAUGAGCUGAGCUGGAGGCUGCCCCAUGAUGGGGCAUCAUAUUUGUGUUCCCCACGCUCUCCAGAUCCCACAUAAGCAUGUAAAAUACAAAUGCAAAGAAAGUUCCGGCCAACCCGAGAAAAGAGGAAGUAGAGAGACUUGCUGAAAAUGGUCCAUUGAACUUUCAGCCAGAAGAUAUAACCAUUUACGUCGAUUAGCCGCAACAAACAAUAAGACACAAUGAGAAAGGUCAAAAUGAUGAGGACCGAAUAGAGAAAUUGGCGUAAUCGAGUAAGAUGAGGAGAUAAGGGGCGAAGGAUAUUCAAUUCAUGAUUCAAGUUUGUAGGAUCGCUAUUUCCUGCGUGGUCUGUGCCCGUACCGAUAUCCUAAUUCGGCUNAAGAAAAGGGAGGAUAUGAAAUAACCAUAGUUGAUGCAUCGGAUGGACGUCAAGUGGUUGAUAUUAUACCUCCAGGGCCAGAACUUCUUGUUUCAGAGGGUGAAUCCAUCAAGCUUGAUCAACCAUUAACAAGCAAUCCCAAUGUAGGAGGGUUUGGUCAGGGAGAUGCAGAAAUAGUGCUUCAAGAUCCAUUACGCGUCCAAGGCCUUUUGUUCUUCUUCGCAUCUGUUAUUUUGGCACAAGUUUUUUUGGUUCUUAAAAAGAAACAGUUUGAAAAAGUUCAAUUGUACGAAAUCAAUUUUUAGGUCCAGAGAUUCCUUAACAUUUGGUAAAAAGUGCCGGUUUUUUGUCCAUCGAUACAAUUAUGUAUGAUCAAAAAAUUCUGUAAAUCCUUUUGCUUGCUUUGUUUAUACUCUUUUUGUUUUGCAGGACGCCUGGAAUUCAUUACUUGUAUUCCAUUUUAGUAAUAAACAAUAGGCAUCCGAACAAAUACAAAAGAAGAGAAUACAAGGCAAGGAUGGGAAAAAUGAAAGGAACAAAUACUUUUAGGAAGGAUUACUAGUCUUCCUAAUCUUCUAUUCGAUACAAGACGACACAAGAAAAUUCCUUUUUCUUGUGUCGUCUUGUAUCAAAAUAAUAAUCAUUUUUUUUCCUGUUCGUCAAAGAUUACUAUUCCUUCUUUUCCGGGUCUAUCGGAACUCCUUUGUUUAGAUUCAUAAGAAGUAGUGGACAAACUAAGGGAAAGAAAGGAUGUUGGGGGAAUAUUUUAUUGAGCAAAUAGAAUUUCUUCACUUAUUCAAUAGUUGUUCAACUUAUAACUUAGAGAAAUUAUUCAAACAAAAAAAAAGCGGUUGAAAGACGGAUUUUAUUUUGACGAAUAUCCAAAUCCUUAUUUAUUAUAUGAUCAGGGUUUUGAUUUGAUUUUUAGAGUAGUUUUGAUUAAGGUUCUAUUAGUUUAGUCUAGAAAUGAUUUGCAGGAUGUCUCAUCCCUAGAAAUCAAUAUAAUAAUUAUAUUGGAUUAUAGAUAAAAUCGAUUGAUUCGUUCUUUCUUCUUGCUUCCAGUUAAUAUUUUGGGGGAAGGGCAGGAACUAUGAAUCAACCGCUAGAUUCAAUUGUUCACAAACAUCAUUAAGAAACAAAAGAAUAGAGUGGUUUGAAACAUCAGAGCAAAGGAUCCUUUUUGUCAUUUCUACAAAACAAAUAUAAUAUUUUGAUUAUGCUGACUGGAUAACUAACCAAUUUGUAGGUUAUGGAAUAGAUCAAAGUCUCGUUAUAAGACUAAGAACUCCGCGGGCCCUUUCCGCUCUAAUCAGACAAAGGAGGGUAAGGACCCGCUAAGUUCUUACUUUUUCAUGUCUACAAUCCGGCUCAUACGAUUACUAGAGAGAUGAACCCAACCCAGAAUAUGAACCGUAAAAGAAAACACCUAUUAAACCGAUCACAAGAAUACCAGUUACAGUACCUAUCAGCCAAAGAGGAAUCCUUCCAGUAGUAUCGGCCAUUUCCCCCACUUUCCUCCACAUUUCAUCAAGUGGUCAUGCUAGAGACAAAAACAGUCAUGGAUAAUUAUGAGGAUGGUAUCUAUCCGAAUGGGAUAAGAGAAUUACUACUAUUCUCUUUCUUUCUCUCAAUUGAAGAAAUAAUUGGAAAAUAAAACAGCGAGUACAAAAAUGAGUAAUAAACCCCAGUAUAGACUGGUACGAUUCAAUUCAACAUUUUGUUCAUUCGGGUUUGAUUGUGUCAUAGUUCUAUAAUUUGAAUUAGGUUUAUCGUUGGAUGAACUGCAUUGCUGAUAUUGACCCCAAAAAAGAAACGGUAGGUACAGCUAGUCCGUGAACAGCCAACCAGCGCACUGUAAAAAUUGGAUAGGUUCGAUCUAUGGUCAUUGAGGGCCUCCUAAAAGGAUCUACUAAAUUCAUCGAGUUGUUCCAAAGAAUCAAAACGGCCGGUUAUCAAUGGAAUCCCCUGUCGGCUUUCCGUGAAAUACUCAUUUGGCCGAGGACUUCCAAACACGUCGUAAGCUAAACCCGUACUGACGAAUAACCAACCCGCAAUGAAUAGGGAAGGUAUAGUAAUGCUAUGAAUAACCCAGUAUCGAAUACUGGUAAUAAUAUCAGCAAAAGAACGUUCUCCCGUGCUUCCAGACAUGCUGAGCUCCACAAAUUUUUGUACAUUCAAAAAGGGGAAUCGAUUCCGUGAAAGAUGGGAUCAGUAAAUAGAAAACUACUGAUAUUGCAUCUUUGUGAGAUCGUCAAUUUUGUACCAAAGGUGUAUUUCGAGUAUACCGAAUCAGUAUAGCUAUCCUUCCUCUGGCACAGCAACGCAGCCUUGAUCGGUACCGAAAUGCUACACAAUUCCUUUUUUCUUUUUUUGUUCCUUAUCUAUGGAUAACUUAUGUUAUGCUAUUCAACAGAUCAAUAGAAAACCCUCAAAUUUCUUAUAAGGUUUCCCUUAUUGGCUUCAUAAUAGAAAGUAAGGAUCUUGGGAAAAUGUAAGUCAAUGAUCAAUGGGUUCUAAUAAUUCAUGAAAGAUAUUAUCGUAUUGACACAAUUCAAUUAUAUGCGAAAUCUAACCCUUUUUGGUUAAAAGUUUUAUUCGAAUCCUUUCAUUUCAAGUAAUUGGUUGGUAUAAUAUUAGUAGAUAAUAUAUAAAUUAGUAGAUAAUAUAUAAAUAUAUAUAAUAGUAGAUAAUAGUAGUAGAUAAUAGUAAUAGUAUCUACUAUUUAGAUUAGAUCAUAUUUAAUGAAAGAAAGAAAACAUAGUUGUAACAAUCAAUAUUCGUGAUGCAAUCAUUGUUGGAUUAGGUCCAAGACAAAGGUUCUUUCUUGACCAAACUACAAGUAUGGAACUCCAUGAUAUGGAAAGACGGAAUAUGGAACCUAAAAGGAUAAUUGAGGUGGCUCGUCUUCGAAUCGACUUUUGGACCCGAAAAAGAGAACAAAAAUAAAGUCAAUUUAAAUUGAAAAUUUCAAUUAAAUAAUUAAAUAAAGUAAAAAGUAAAAGUUUUUGUUUCUCGAUAGAUCCAUCGAUGGAUGGUGGAACACCUUUUUUUCUUCUUAUUCGAUAUAUUAUGG
rnacentral:lncRNA from 1 species